rnacentral:lncRNA from 1 species
GGGGAGGCUAGGGAUAGCAAGCCAGUAGUUAAUAUUAGGCCCUUUUCGCCGAGGGAUCGGGUUAAGGGGAGGCUAAGAAAGUCGCAUAACAAUUGAAUCAAUCAAACUAAUAUUCGAGGGUAGUAUGUAAGAGAGAGCGGAAUAGAUGAAAUUGUAAACCCCCAACAACAUCCAUUCAUCCAUUGUUUUCGUUUGUCAAUUGAAUCAACUUUAUUUUUGCAUGUUAAUAUAUUUUGUUCUCAAAUCCAAUUUAUUAAUUUUUAUUUUUCAAGUCUUAUUAUUUUAAUUCACGCAAACGAGAAAGCCAUACAAGUCUCUUGGGAAAACGAUACUUGGUCUUAUCAUUUAUAUUACUUGAACGAUUUGGUACACUUGCCAAUUUGUCAACAAGUUUUUGGCGCCGUUGCCAGGGGCUCGAGGUUUAUUUUUCUAGUAGUGUGGAUUAAUUGAAUUUGACUUGAUUUUAUGUUUGUUUUGAUUCUAAUAAAUGUUUUCUAGGGUUUUGUGCCUAAUUUUUGAAGAAUGCCGUUUGGACAAGAGUUUGAUUCUGUAGGCACUCAAUUCUACUAAAAUGAUUUCAACCACUAGUGGGAUCCUUAUUCAAAUAUAUAUCGAAACCACUUAGGGCAUCAUUCCUCUUCACGAAAAGAAACGUUAGGGGAAGCUAAAGAGCGUUUACGGCAGGAACUAUUCUCUCUACCAGAAGAAACGUUGGGGGAAGUCCAACAGUUCUUGCGGCAACACAUAUUCUCUGGACCAAAAGAACCGUUGGUUGGAAGCCCAACAACGUUUACAACAAAAACAAUCUCCUGUAUGCAAAGAAACAUUAGGGGAAGCUCAAGAACGUCUAUUGCAGGAACAACACUCUCAUGUUUUGAAGUCUCUGGGUAUCAUAAGGGUUAAUACUGAAGUUAACCCUAAAGAAGAAUGUCAAGCCAUUAUCUUUGCAAAUGAUAUGAUUCUAGAGAUGUAUGAGGAGGAAAUAAAAACAGAAAAAGUUGUUGUUGUGAAAAAUGAUAGAGGAAGAAGAGAUAGAGACAGAUUUAAAAGAAGAAGAAACAGAAGAGUUGGUUGAGGAAGAUAAAGAUGAUGAGGGAGAAAAAACAGUGGUUAAGAAAAAAGAAAAAAAGAAAAAAUAUUCAAAAAUAAAGAAGAAAAAAAGAAAAGAGAAAAGAGGAAAGUUGAGGAGAGAGAAGAAAAGGAAGAGAGGUAAAAAGAAAAGAUCUUGUGAAAAACCCCUUGCUCAUAAAAAGAAAUAUCAUAGGAAGGAAAAUAAAUUUUUGAGCUUUAUGGAGAUCUUUAAGAAAUUGGAGAUUAAAGUUCCUAUGAUUGAAACAUGGAAACAGGUGCUUGAUGUUCUUAAUUUUAUGAAGAAAUUCAGCAGGAAGAAGAAAAAGAAAAGAAUAUCAAGAAAGGGGAGUAUCAACACCUACUGAUGGGUGUUUGAACUCUACUAGGUCAAGCUAGUGACAUAAAAAAAGCGCUUGCUGGGAGGCAACCCAGUUUCUGAAUUUUUUUUAUUUUAUCUCGUUUUGAUUUUAUUUUAUUUGAUUUGCUUUUAUUUUAUUUUAUUUGAUUUGAUUUGAUUUUAUUUGAUUUGAUAUUAUUUUAUUUGAUUUUAUUUGAUUUUAUUUGAUUUGAUUUGAUUUAAUUUGAUUUGAUUUUAUUUUAUUUUAUUCUAUUUUAUUUGAUUUUAUUUGAUUUGAUUUUAUUUGAUUUGAUUUGAUUUGAUUUGAUUAUUUUAUUUUAUUUUUUUUAUUUUUUAUUUUUUAUUUUUUUUUUUGGAUUAUGCGCUGCUUCUAAUGGCAGUAAUGAUAGCAUCUACUGAGGGAUGCUAAAUUUUUGGUAUCCACUGAAGGAUAUCCGAAAGGUACACCUAUUGAUGGGUGGUGGAAGGAAGUGCACCUACUGACAAGUGCUAACCAGGUUUGGGUCAGGCUCGUGACGUUAAACAAGCGCUACUAGGAGGCAACCUAGAUUUCUUCUUACACUUUUGCAUUUUAAAUUCCUAGAAUAGUUUGAAUUUAAAUUUUGGUGUGUACUCUUGGCUUUAACACUUGUUCUGAAAAUGUUUGACUGACUGAUGUGCAUGAUGGAUCUAUUUGAUGAUUUUGGAUGUGGAUGAGAAUUGAGUUGUAAUGCAUGAUGAUAUCCAGGAAAUAGAUGGGUGAUGAAUUUAUGAUUGUGGUCAUGAUGCUAGGCAUAGUGUAUGAAUGAAUUUUGUGUGAGUAAGCAUGUGUGUGAGAUUUUCAGCUUGAGAGUUUUUAUUGUUGCAUGUAUUGUUCACAGGAAAACAAGGAUGAUAUUACCUUAAUCUUGAUGAUCGAUUGAAUUGCAUGUGAAUGUCAUAUGAUCAAGGCCAUUUUUGAAAAACCUUUUCUAGCCAAAUUUUCACCCAAAGUGCUUGAAAUAUUAUACCCCUUUUGAACCUUAGCCUUAAACAGGAUGUGAACCCUUGUUUUGAAAUUCUUUACCUUGAGUUGGGAUGAGCUUAAUUGUAUGUGAUGAAAAGGUUCAAGUUUGGGGUUGUACGGGGGAAAAUUGGAUAAACAAGUGAAAAGCAUUGAGCUCAAAUGUUGUGAAAAAAAGAAAAAAAAUCAUGAAAAAGAAAAAGAAAAGAAAAGAAGAAAAACAUGAAGAUGAGCUCAAUGAAAAAGAAAAGAAAAGGGGAAGAAGUUGGGAAUGAGAGACAUUGGUGAGAGAGUUGUGCUUAAAUGUUGAAUAUUUUGAUGGCUCUCUUGACUCAAGGAUUUUGCAUUCUAGAAAAACCAAUUCUUUCUUGUUAGCCCAACCUCAUUACAAGCCUUGGAAAAGUCCUUUUGAUGGCAUUUGCAUGUAAAGAUGUUGAUUGUUUGAGAUGAAUGGCAAUUUUGUUUUAUGCGACUUGUGAAUAUUUGAGAGUUGGAGUGUCACCUUAAAUACUUGAGUGAUUAAGUGAAACACUUGCUUGGUAUGAUUUGUUAAUUUUCAUGAGUACAUCUUUGCUUAGUGGAUUUAAUAUUCAUAGUGUAUAACAUCUAUUGUGCAAUCUCUGGAUUGAAAGCAUGCAUGCAUCUUAUUUUGGGUGUCACAGAGGAUAUUGAAUUGAGUAGUUUUGUCAUGUACCUUGGGAUUGUUGAGGCAUUGGAUGAAACAGUAUAAAGCCAAGUUUUCAUUUUAUGUGUUGUUUUUGUUUUGUUUUGCUUGAGGACAAGCAAAAUUCUAAGUUUGGGGUGUUGAUGAAGGUUGAAAAACAGUUAUUUUCAUAUAUCAAUUUGGACCAAAUUACACCCUUUACUACUCGGAAUGAGCUUAGAAUCAAGCAAAACUCAAUAAAUGAGUCUGGAGAGAGUCAAAAGUUGUUUUUAGCGAUUUUAUGCUUGUUUUGCAUUGUUUUGAAACUAAUUUGAGAAAAGUAAAGAAUGGAGUUAAAGAUACAGGUCGUUGACUCAAGAAAAGAGCAGAAAAAUGAAGAUUUGAAGAGUCGGCACACUUAAACCGCCCGACGGUGGCUCGCUGGACUUGGGCCCGUUUUCUGACGCGCUCCUCACCUAUAUAUACCCCUACUGAGAGUUCAUAGUCAUUCUUUUGUAAGGGGAGAACGGCCAAGCCUAAUUUUGCUCUCUGGAGAGGAUCUCUUUGAUGCUUAGGCUCCUUUUCAUCUUUUCUAUGGUUUGCUUUUCCAUUCUUCUUCCAUUUUUCAUCUAGUUUCACCAUGUCUAUGGUGAAUUAAACCCUAUUGUUGUUGGGGGAAACAAUGUAAUCUUUUGAUGCUCUCUCUUAUUGAAUCUCUUGAUUAUUUAUAUGGUCUCCAUAUGUGUUGAUUGAUUAUUGUUGGGUUAUCAUCGGUGCUUAAGGCCUUUAUCGUUUAACUCAUUCGGUAACUGAUGUUUGUCUUUAUUGAUAUGNGGACGUACAGUAAUGACAUGAACUGGUGAGUAUUAUCUUGAUUUUGCANNNNNNNNNNNNNNNNNNNNNNNNNNNNNNNNNNNNNNNNNNNNNNNNNNNNNNNNNNNNNNNNNNNNNNNNNNNNNNNNNNNNNNNNNNNNNNNNNNNNNNNNNNNNNNNNNNNNNNNNNNNNNNNNNNNNNNNNNNNNNNNNNNNNNNNNNNNNNNNNNNNNNNNNNNNNNNNNNNNNNNNNNNNNNNNNNNNNNNNNNNNNNNNNNNNNNNNNNNNNNNNNNNNNNNNNNNNNNNNNNNNNNNNNNNNNNNNNNNNNNNNNNNNNNNNNNNNNNNNNNNNNNNNNNNNNNNNNNNNNNNNNNNNNNNNNNNNNNNNNNNNNNNNNNNNNNNNNNNNNNNNNNNNNNNNNNNNNNNNNNNNNNNNNNNNNNNNNNNNNNNNNNNNNNNNNNNNNNNNNNNNNNNNNNNNNNNNNNNNNNNNNNNNNNNNNNNNNNNNNNNNNNNNNNNNNNNNNNNNNNNNNNNNNNNNNNNNNNNNNNNNNNNNNNNNNNNNNNNNNNNNNNNNNNNNNNNNNNNNNNNNNNNNNNNNNNNNNNNNNNNNNNNNUUGUAUGCAAAGAACAAAAAUAAACAUGCAAAUGCAGUUGAUUCAAUUGGCUUUGAAAAACUAUGGAUGAAUGGUGUUGUUAGGGUUUACAAUUUCAUCUUAUCCACUCUCAUAUAUCUACUUUUCAAUUUUACUUUACUUAUUUAUCCAAUUGUCAUGCAAAGAUUUUAGCCAACCCUUAACCCAAUCCCUUGGUGAAAAGAGCCUAUUAUUAAUUACCGGCUUGCUAUCCCUAGCCUCCCUUAGUAACCAAUAAUGCAAUGUGAACGGAAGCAAAAUACAAUUGAUCGUCCUACCCCUAUCCCUAGGCGGUAUUAGCAUAAUCAAGGAAUUUCUCACCAGUUCAUGACAUUACCAUACGUCCCCGUAUCAAUAAAGACAAACCACUUUUACUGAAUGAGUUAAAAUAUAAAAGCAUUAAGCAAAGAUGAGAACCCAACAAUUGAUAAACAAGUAUAUGAGAAGCAUAUGAAAUAAAUAAGAAUUUGGAUAAAUGAGAGUUUCAAAAGAUUACAUUGUUCCCUAACAACAAAGGGUUUAGUUCACCAUUGUGAUGGUGAAACUAGAUGAAAAUAAUGAAAGAAUGGAAAAGCAAACCCUAGAUUUGAUAAAAAAGAGCCUAAAGCAUCCAAGAACUCUCCUCCAAGGUGUGUGGAAUAGCUCUGGACGUUUCUCUCUGCCAAAAGAAUCCUUUUUUAAUUCGCACUGGGGCUAUAUUUAAGCCCAAAAAGAUAACAGAAAGAUUACAUAAUCUAGCUAUUAAAAACAGACAACCGCCCAGGCGCCUAACUUCACCGCUCAACGGUUUCCCUCUUGCCGCUUUGACCGCUCAACGGUUAGUUUUGCCGCUGAGCGGUUUCCCUCUAAUCGCUCUAAGCGCUCAGCGGACCAUUCUGGCGCUCAACGACUUACUUGACCCUUCUUUUCAUCAUUUUUCUCUUUCUUUCAUGGGUCUCAGUCCACCUUACUUCUCUUCCAUCUUCAUUUCACCUUAAAAGCCUGCAAAACAAUGUAACAUCUUGGACGUUGCCAUGAACGGUCUUCCAAGAAUUAUUGGAAAUCUUUCUUCAUCUUCCAUGCCCAUGAUGAUAAAAUCAGCUAAGAAUUCUAGCUUCUCCACUUGUACAACCACAAUUUCCACCAUAACAAAUGGUGUUUUAACUGAACCAUCUGCCACCGUCAUAGUAAGAUUAGACGAUUUCAAUGUUAGCCCUCCAAUUUUCUUAAAAAAAACCCAUGGGCAUUAGGUUAAUGCUAGAUCCAAAAUCUAUCAUUGCUUCUCCUAUAUCAAUAUCAUUAUAACCAUACACGCCAGAUUCAAGCAACCUGGAUCUUUUGCUUUAAGCGGAUAAUUCUUCGGUGGUUGAAUGUCAAAUUCUUGCUCAUCAUCAGCUUCAUUUAAAUCUAUCAUAUCUCCAAGAUAAAAUUUCAUCCUUGCAGGAAUCUGUUUAAUAACUGAAGGAACUAUAGUCAUUGGAUUAUAAAUUUCUCUUUUCUGCUCAUUAUGACUAACUCUUGUUUUCUCUUCUUCCUCCCCUUCACUGCUACUGCUUCUUAUCUCAAUGACCUCUCGUUCCUCCUCUUCGUCACUGCUUCCUAUCUCUACAACUUCCCUUUCAACCCUUCUUUUAUUCCUUGUCAUCACAACUUUGCAUUCUUCUUUAGGGUUAACAUCAGUGUUAGCCCUAAACUGGUUCUUUUCAGUGGUUUCUACUCUUUUUGACAGCUGCCCAAUUUGCAUUUCUAGUGAUCUUAAAGUAGCUUGAUCACUUGACAGUUGGACUCAUAGACUUUCAUGAAUUUAUCAAACCUAUCACUCAUAUCUUUGACAAACUCUGUCAGAUGUGUAACCUACUGUCACAUAGUUGAAGGUUGUUGUUGCCUGAAGCCUCUUGGUUGCCCUGAUGGGUUAUUCUGUUGUUGACCAAUACUUGGAUGAUUAUUCACACCUUGGCUAGGAUUGCCUUGGUUGAAAUUCCAUUGCCUGUACUAGAAUUGGUUCCCCAUGUAGUUAGCUUCCUGCUAUAUCUCCUCAAGUAUAGCACAUUGACCAUUGAUAUGGUCACCACCACAAAGAUCGCAUAGUUGCUAUGCUUAGGAGGCAUUGCGAAUCUCCUUUGGAACUUGUGAGAGGAUCUUUGUCAAUGUAUCUAGCUUUUGGGUUAAAAGAUGAUUUUGAGCUAGCAUUGCGUCAUCUUUAGGUAAAUGCAACAUUCCUCUAUUUUGUGUUGGUGCGCCCCUUUCACUGUAUGCUUCUUGCCUAUUUGCUGUCAUACUCUCUAUCAAGUCAUAGGCUUCAUCCUCAGUCUUCUGUCUGAUAUCACCUCCAGCUGGGGCAUCCAACAUCAUCUUAGACUACAUAUUCAGUCUGCCAAGGUAAGCAAGAAUAAUGGUUGUCUUGUCAAACCCGUGAACUGGUGUUUUCCUAAGUAGGCCUUUGAAUCGCUCCCAUGCUUGACUUAGAGUUUCUUCCAUGCCUUGCUUGAAUGAUGAGAUCUUCAGUCUUCCCUGAGUAACUUUAGACUAUGGAAAAUAUUUGUUGACAAACUUUGUAGCCACAGUCUCCCAUUUAGUAAAUGUCCCUUCAGGGAAGGAAUUAAGCCAUGUCUUAGCAUUGCCUCCCAAUGAGAACGGGAGCAAGCUAAGCCUCACUCUAUCAACUGAUACACCUGUCAUCUUCACUGUAUUGCAUAUCUCACCAAAACGCUGUCAAAUGCUCAUAGGGGUUCUCAUUUGACAGGCCGUAAAACUGAUUGCUUUGCACUAGGUGUAUAAGUGCUGGAUUCAUCACCAUGUUGGUCGUUUGAUCUGUAGGCAUGGCUAUGCUAUUAAAAUGGAAAGGGUCAACCGCAUUUGAUUGGUCUGCAAGAGUGCGUCUUGGACGAGCUCGUUCAGCCAUCUCCUCUGUUAUUCUAACUGGUGAAGGUGAUAGUAAUCUUUCAGGGGAAGGAAAUAAAUCCCUAGAUGGGCAUCUGACUCUCCUUCUCUCCCUUGCCUCGCUUAAGCCUUCAAGUAGAGGUUGCGUAUUUUUCUUGCUCCUAGUAUGUCUGGGCUCCUGCUGCAUGCAUAAGAAACACAAACCCUAGUAGCACUUUUUUUAUAUAAAAAAAAAAUAAAAAGAUAAAAGGAUAAAAAGAUAUAUACAAUCAAGUCAAACUUACUCAGUUUACACUACAAGAUAAGUUAAAUGAUGAAGGUUGAAAAACAGCUAUUUUCAUAUGUCAUCUUAUACCAAAUUACUCCCUUUACUGCUUAGAAUGAGCUUAGAAUCAAGGAAAACUCAAUAACUGAGUGUGUAGAGAGUCAAAAGCUAUUUUUAGCGAUAUUAUGCUUGUUUUGCAUUUUUUUGUAGCAUUUUUGAGAAAGUGAAGAAUGAUGUUGAAGAUGAAGGUCGUAGACUCAAGAAAAGAGAACAAAAUUGAAGAAUUGAAGAGUCGACGUACCGCCCGGCGACAAAUUACACCGCCGGGCGGUCCGGGGCGAGGAGUAGACACCUGGCGUGGACGCUGUGCGGAUUUAUGAUUAGAGGCAAACCGUCGGGCGGUAGACCCCUACCGCCGGGCGGUAGUGCGAUUUGAGGGAAACUGCCGGGCAGAACAAGUGUGGCACCGGGCGGUUGUCUGCUGGGCUUGGGCCUGUUUUCUGUAGCGCUCCUCACUUAUAAAUAGCCCUAGUGCGAGUUUAGAUGUAUUUUUUUGACAGAAGGGGGCGGCCAGACCUAAUUCCACUCUCUGGAGAGGAUCUCUUAGAUGCUUAGGCUCCAUUUCUUCUUAUCUAGGGUUUGCUUUUCCAUUCUUCAUCCAUUUUUUAUCUAGCUUCACCAUGAAAAUGGUGAAGUAAACCCUAUUGUUGUUGGGGGAAACAAUGUAAUCUUUUGAUACUCUCUUUUAUUGAAACUCUUGUUUUUUUAUAUGGUUUCCAUAUGCUUUGAUUAUUAAUUGUUGGGUUCUCAUCUGUGCUUAAUGCUUUUAUCGUUUAACUCAUUCGAAAACUGUUGUUUUUCUUUAUUGAUAUGGGGACGUACAGUAAUGUCAUGAACUGGUGAGUAAUUCCUUGAUUAAGCAAUACCACCUAGGGAUAGGGGUAGGACGAUCAAUUGUUUUUCACUUCUUCUCUAUAAUGCUUUAUUAAUUGCUAGGGAAGGCUAGGGAUAGCAAGCCAGUAAUUCGUAAUAGGCUCUUUUCGCCAAGGGAUCGGAUUAAGGGUAGGCUAAGAAAGUUGCAUGACAAUUAGUUAAUCAAGCUAAUAAAUCAAGAGGAGUAAAUAAGAGAGAGCGGAUAAGAUGAAAUUGUAAACCCCCAACAACUCCAUUCAUCCAUUGUUUUCUUUUCGUCAAUUGAAUCAAUCUCUUUUGCAUGUUUAUAGUUUGCUCACACCCAAUUAAUUAAUUUUUAUUUUCAAGUCUUACGAUCUUAAUUCACACGAACGAUAAGGCCUUUCGAUUCUCUUGGGAAAACGAUACUUGGACUUACCAUUUAUUAUUACUUGAUACGAUUUGGUACGCUUGCCAAUCCGUUAAGAAGUUUUUGGCGCCGUUGCUGGGGACUCGAGGUUUACUUUUUCUAGUAGUGUGGAUUGACUGAAUUUGACUUGGUUGUGAUUAUUUUUGUUUUAUUUUUGUUUAAUUGCGUUUUAUUUUAUUUUUCUGUAAAAGUGCUUUUAGGGUUUGUUUCUUGUGUAUGUAGGAAGCAAUCCAUACUAGAAGCAAAAAAGACCAGCAACCUCUCUUAGAAGGUUUACCAGAAGGGAGGAGAAGGAGACGUCCUUCACGUGAGAGAUCUCUUUCUCCUGAAGCAUUUUCGCAGUCUUCUCUUGAGAUUUCUGCGCCAGAUUUUGAGUAGAUGGCUAACCAACCUCCUCCUAGACGUACAUUUAGGGACGCAGCAAACGCAGUAGGUCCCUUGAACUUCAACAGUAUAGCAGUUCCAGCUGAUAACGCAACCAGCAUGGUAAUGAGUCCUGCGCUCAUCCAAUUAGUCCAGAAUAAUCAAUUCCAUGGGUUGUCGAAUGAGAAUCCUUAUAAGCAUUUGACCAUCUUUGGUGAGAUUUGCAACACUGUCAAGAUAAACGGAGUGUCGGAUGACAGAGUUAGACUCAGUUUGUUUCCUUUCUCUCUUGGAGGAAUUACAAAGGAUUGGUUGAAUUCUUUCCCUGAAGGAAUGUUUAGGACUUGGGAGGUUGUGGCACAUCAAUUUGUUACUAAAUUCUUUCCGCCUGCAAGGAUCAGUCAAGGGAGGCUGGAGAUUUCUGCAUUUAAACAAGGAAGAGAAGAAACUCUUGGAAGGGCUUGGAGUAGAUUUAAAGGCUUGUUAAGAAAGACCCCAGUCCAUGGGUUCGAUAAGACUUCAUAUUUGCUUGUUUUCCUUGGAGGCCUGUGCCUUCAGUCUAAGAUGGUGUUAGAUGCUUCAGCUGGAGGCAGUAUUUGUAGGAAGACUGAAGAUGAAGCUUAUAAUUUGAUAGAACUUAUGGCUGACAACGAAGAAGCACAUGAUACGCGUGUCGAUACUAUUCAGGAACUUUCAAUGGUUCAAAAUAACGUGAUUACACAACAAUUGGAGGAAGUGACAAGAAGACUUGCUGAGUUAUCGCAGGCAGUUAUAGAAACUUCAAAGGCCCCACAAAUGCUUCAUUUCAACCCUAUUCAGAGAAGUACGGAAUCUGAAGAAACCUUCCAGAGAAUUAUGAAGAAAAGUGUUUUUGCUGUUGACUGUGUGGAGAAAGGUAGGGGGGAAGAAGCUUGCGAAAUUGUUACUAGAAGCGGAAGAAUUUUAAAAGAACAAGAGGUUGAUAAAAAAGUAAGUAUAGAAGAAGAAAAGGAUCAAAAGGACGAACGUGAAGAAAAAAUAUGUUGAAUGAGAAACAAAAAGAAGAAGCUGAGAAGUUCAAAGAGAAGGAGUAUGAAAAAACACUGCCAUAUCCAAAAUUAUAUUCCAGAAAAGAGAAAGAGAAACAAUUCGAUCGUUUCAUGGAAAUUUUCAAGAAAUUGGAAAUAACUAUUCCAUUCUCGGAGGCACUCCAGCAGAUACCAUCUUAUUCAAAGUUUUUGAAAGAGAUCAUUACGAAAAAAAGAAAAUAUGCCGAAAAAGAAACAAUUGAGGUAGAAGGGAAUUGCAGUGCUAUCAUUCAAAGGUCAUUACCUUCUAAAUCACCCGAUCCAGGGAGCUUCACUAUUCCUUGUGCUAUUGGAGAGUUAGAGGUUGGGAAAGCCUUGAUUGACCUAGGAGCCAAUAUAAAUCUAAUGCCUCUGACCAUGUUCAAAAAGUUAAAAGGGGUGAACUUUGAUGUGUUUCAAGCUAUGUCACAUCCCAAAGACGACAAGUCAUGCUUUCAGAUGGACCUGGUGGAAGAAAACUGUAUGAGACAAGAAAAUAAAGUUCGUAAUGUAUCCAUGUUAGAAAGAACUUUGACUAAUGAAUGUGAGGAUCUGAAUGAGGAGGAAGAUAAACUACAUCAAAAAUGUAUACAGGAAUUGGAAGCAGCAAAAGAAGUCCACCAGAAAAAGUACUCUUCGAACAGAUGGAUCUUAUAGAAAAAGCUUCAGAUAGUAAGAUUGAACUGGAGUAAUUGCCCUCACACCUAAAGUAUGUGUUUUUGGAGGACAAUGGGAGAAAACCUGUCAUUAUUAGUGCUUCAUUAUCUCAAGAGGAAGAAAGAAANUUGGUGGGAAUUCUCAAAGAGAACAAAGGUGCCAUUGGUUGGUCAAUUGCUGAUCUCAAAGGUAUAAGUCCAACUUAUUGUAUGCAUAGNAUUCUGAUGGAAGACGAUUAUAAGCCUGUUGCUCAACAACAAAGGAGACUUAAUCCUGUCAUGAAAGAAGUUGUGAGAAAAGAGGUAUUGAAGCUGUUAGAAGCAGGAAUUAUUAUCCAAUUUCUGAUAGCAUAUGGGUAAGCCCAGUUCAAGUGGUACCAAAGAAAGGAGGGAUGACUGUCAUUCAUAAUGAAAAGAAUGAGCUUAUUCCGACAAGGACAGUCACUAGGUGGAGGAUGUGCAUUGACUAUAGGAUAUUAAAUACAGUCACCCGGAAAGAUCAUUUUCCCUUACCUUUCAUGGAUCAGAUGUUAGAAAGACUGGCAUGGCAAGCUUAUUAUUGCUUUCUUGAUGGAUAUUCUGGAUAUAACCAAAUAGUGGUGGACCCUGAAGACCAAGAGAAAACAACUUUUACAUGUCCCUUUGGUAUAUUUGCCUACAAAAAAAUGCCAUUUGGAUUAUGUAACGCCCCCGCGACUUUUCAGAGGUGUAUGCAAGCAAUCUUUGCUGAUUUUAUGGAAAAAAGCAUCGAAGUCUUUAUGGAUGAUUUUUCAGUUUUUGGAGAUACUUUUCAAAGAUGCUUGUCUAAUUUGGAUGCAGUUCUCAAACGAUGUGUUCAAACAAAAUCUUGUUUUGAACUGGGAAAAAUGUCAUUUCAUGGUUACAGAAGGUAUCGUGCUGGGCCACAAAAUUUCUGCCAGGGGGAUUGAAGUUGAUAGAGCAAAGGUUGAGGUGAUUGAAAAACUCCCACCACCGACAAAUGUAAAGGGAGUCCAAAGUUUCCUUGGUCAUGCGGGAUUCUAUCGACGAUUUAUUAAGGAUUUUUCGAAGGUUGCAAAGCCUUUAAGUAAUCUGCUUGCUAAAGAGACACCAUUUGUGAUGAGUCCAGAAUGUUUGCAAGCUUUUGACAGUCUGAAGCAGAGACUGAUUUCUGCUCCAGUGAUGAUGGCGCCUGAUUGGGAUAAAGAGUUUGAACUUAUGUGCGAUGCUAGCGACUAUGCUAUAGGGGCUGUGCUGGGACAGAGAAGAGGAAAGGUGUUUCAUGCUAUUUAUUAUGCUAGCAAAGUGCUGAAUGAGGCUCCACUGAAUUAUGCUACCACAAAAAAGGAAUUCUUGGCCAUAGUUUACUCAUUGGAGAAAUUUAGAUCCUAUCUUGUUGGAUCUAAGGUGAUCAUUUAUAAAGAUCAUGCGGCUAUAAAGUAUUUACUGACGAAACCUGAUUCGAGGCCAAGAUGGAUUAGAUGGGUACUUUUGCUACAAGAAUUUGACGUAGAAAUUCGUGACAAAAAGGGGAGUGAAAAUGUGAUUGCUGAUCAUUUAUCCCAGUUAGUCAAUGAGGAAGUAACAAGCAAGGAGAAAGAAAUCUGGGAAUCAUUUUCAGAUGAAGCUCUUUUGUAUAUUCAGCAAAGACCUUGGUUUGCUGAUUUAGCCAACUUCAAAGCCGCAAGUGUUAUUCCGGAAGGAUUCAACUGGCAACAGAAAAAGAAGUUUUUACAUGAUGCCAAACAAUUCAUUUGGGAUGAUCCAUAUUUGUUCAAGAUAGGAGCAGAUAAUCUGUUGAGAAGAUGUGUUACUGAAGCAGAAGCAGAAGAUAUGUUGUGACAUUGUCACAAUUCUCCUUAUGCAGGUCAUUACAAUGGAGAACGCACUGCCGCAAAAAUUUUACAAGCAGGAUUUUAUUGGUCGACUUUGUUUAAAGAUGCUCAUAAUCAUGCUCGAAGCUGCGACAAAUGCCAAAGGACAUAAUCAUAAUAGUUUGUGUCUAUAAAUAUGAAAAACACAUAAGAAAUAAUAUAUAUAUAUAUAUAUAUAUAUAUAUAUAUAUAUAACUCCUCUUGAAUAUUUUGCCCAAGGUUCAUUAAUCUUUUGAAAUUUUACUUAAAAAACUUACAUAAUUUAAAACAUUAGCAUGAAAUUUGUAAUCUUUAUAAUAAGUUAGUUAGCAACAGAUUCUUGUAUACAUUUGUUUCAUUCAACUAAACAAAGAAAAAAAUAAGAAGAAAACAUGAAUUUCGUAAUUUUUUUAAUAAUAUUAAUAACACACUCUUAAGUACAUUUAUUUCAUUAACUAAAAUAAAAAAAGGAAAAAGAAAAAACGAAAAUAUGUACAAUACAUGAGAAUAAAGAGGAAAAAUCAUGAAACAUAACAUAAGAUUCAUGUUUUGUUUUUUUACAAAACCUACACAGGAAAACAAAGACAAAAAAGAUAACAAUGUACAUUUUUCUUUGUUUAUGUUUUCAAGCUAAAACAACACGGUGAUGUAUUUUUUAAAAUAUUUUAAUAAUAAAUAAAUAACAUAAAUAUUAUUAAUAAAAACAAGUUAUAAAUCAAAUGAAAUAUAUUAUAAUAAAACCAAUUUUUUUAUUAUUUUCUUCUCUAAUUAAAAACAGUUAUUUUUAUCUUUUUUCUUUUUCUUUGUCUUCCAAGUGGAGACUUAGAAAUUUUCCAAAAAGAAUAUUAUGUUUAUGCAGUUUGUUGACUAUGCCAAAAUUUUAUACAUGGAAGAUACAUUAGACCAAAGGACAGAGGCAAACAAAGAAAAUAUUAUAUAUAUAAUUUUCUCAGAAAAAGAAGAAGAUGAAAGUGUUUAAUAAAUAUGCAGGACAGGGAAGGAAGGUAUGAUAGGUGAAUGUGAUGUAGAUUGUUUUGAUUGAUUAAGGUUCAUUAUUUCAUUGAUCCCAGGCAUGAAGGGUUGAGAAGGCGACUUUGGAGUGAAUCUCUGUCCCCUCCUUUCUUUCCAAUGAAUUUGUCUCUGCACUUCCCCUUCCCAUCUGUCUCUAUCACUUCUCCAACCCCUUCCUCUCUACCUAAUAAUUUUUUACCCAACCCUAUUCAAAUUAAAAAAUAUUUUAAUAAUUAAAACAUUUCCAUUUUUAUAAAACAAAUAUAAUGUGUUUCAUUUAUUUUUUUCUCUGUUUAAAAAAAGGUAAAAAAAUAUUAUGAGGAUAAAGGUAGCGUCUCACUAACAGUCCCCAUUAACUUUUGAUACAUUAAGAUAAAGAUGAAAAGGCGGUUUAUUAGUAUAUUUCUUGUUUGUUUUAUGUCCCACAUCCUACACUAAAAUAUAGGGCAAAGCCACAUGCAACAUAUUAAUUAAAAGAGUAUUAAUUAGUUUUGGAAAUGACUCAAUUCAAUAUUUAAGGAAGUGUCAUAACUCAUAAAACAAUUAUCAUAUAUAAUUUGGUAAUUUAGUUUAUUAUCUAUUAUCUUCAUAUAAUAAAUAAAUAACUUUUAUUAUCUAUCAAUAUUUCAAUUAAUUAUUGUUGUCAUAGUAUUGGGUAAAAAUAUAUAGUUAUUUUCUUUGACAUACUAAAACUGUUUAAAAAAAAUACACAGUAGUUAUAUAUUUAUUAUAUUUUAGGUUUUAAUCAUUAACACAAACAUUUAAUUAAGUAAUUUUGUAUUAAAUUAACUUUGUAUUAAAUCUAACUAAGUUAAAAAAAAAACAUACAUUUAAAAUUUGUGAGAUUAGUCAAAUUAAAAAAUUAAAGAAAAUAAAAGAAGUGUAAGUACUGAUAUGGUUAGUAAAUGAAUGCGAGGAAAGAAGUGACAAGUGUGAGGACGACUCGUCGGCGUGUUAAUUUGACAACUACAAGACAAUAAAGGGAGGCAGUGCGUGGACGGAGAGAUGCAACGUUUCAUGUUUUAUUUCUUUGUUUUUUUUUUUAAUAAUAUUUAUUUUUGAGAGUGUUGUGUUUUUGUAUUUGUAAUUACAUUGUUGGAUGGGAUAUGUUUUCAGAAUUGAGGUUGAUGUCAAAGUGUGACAAAACAAUCUUCCACGCGUUGGAAUGUUGUGUCCCAUUGACAUUCAUUCAUUUACUCAUCCUUUUCAAAAUUUUAAUUUAUCAGUAUGCGACUGCCACUCCCAUUCCCACUUGCAAUUUUCACUGACUACUACUCCUUCAAGCAUGUGAUUUUUUUCUUUUUCAAAUAUACUCAUUUAAAACAAAAAUUUUAAAAAUAAACUAAAUUCAUUUAUGAUUCAUAUAAGUCAGAAAUUUGGUUCCUCAGACAUUUGGUUUCUCUUAAAAGUAAAAGGUACUAUCAGAUUUUCUUUCACAUAUUAUUUUUUCCAAAUCUUUCAAAGAAAAAUUAAAAAUAAUUAUAUAAAAUUGACUUCAUUCGGAUAGAUUUUUUUGGAGAUGAAGUUCUAAAUAUACCUAUUGUGUACUAGAAAAUCUAGCAGGAUUUUAAUUUUUUAAAAAAUUGAAUUUUAAUCUGACUUUUCUUAAAAUAUUUAAAAUUAGGAAAAAACAUUAAAGGACUAUUUCACAAAUAGAAUUUGGUUUCUGGUGACGGGAAUUCUUAACCUGGGCGGUAAUAUAAGAGAUAGUUUAGAAAUUAAAAUGUAAAUAGAUUUAUUUGGGUAAAUAUUUUAAAACAAAAAUCUUUUAUAUAAAUAUGACAAAUUGGUCACUAAACACUUCAUUUAAAACAGGAGAAUAAAACAUUAAGAAAACAGUAACAUGAGCGGUGGGAGAUUCAUAAGAAAAGUUUUGGAAGCAAUGAUACAUAUAAAUCUUAAUUUUUUAUAUAUCUAUUAUAGACUUAGUUUUUUUCUUUGCAUAUACCUUUUCUUAUCAUAUUGUAUAAUCUAUAAAUUUAUCAACUUUUAUUCUCUCUCUAAAUAUAUAUAAAGUAUUGAUAUACCCAUUUGGUUUUCAUGAUUCACUAUUUUCAUUUUGUGGCUUUUGUGAGAAACUUGCUAGGAAUUUUAUGUUGUGCUCUUUUCUCAUCACUGUAAUUCCUUUUUCCUUCUAUAUGUUGCAGAUGGGUUGUGCAAAUACUCAGUCAGGAAGAAAAAAAAAAAAAAAAUAUAUAUAUAUAUAUAUAUAUAUAUAUAUAUAUAUAUUUAUAUUUAUUGUACUGAGCCAGAUUAGACCGACUAUCCAAAGGAAUAAUGAGGAGCAUUAGUGUUAUACCGAUCGACCAUUCAGUGUGAGUAGUCAGAUCAGGUAAUCAUUAAUGGCUACUUAAUACAUUUAAUGACUGUAUCAAAGAUAAAUAUAUGACACUUAUUGGUGAUUAGCAGAUUAUAUUGCACAAAGAGAUACCAUAUUAAUGAAUAAUUCAUGGACUGAACAAUGGUGAGGCCUAUUAAUACAUGGUUAAAUGUCCAGGUAGAGACAUCUUAUUCCCAAUGACUAUCAAAAUAAACUAAAGCAAUAUAACUGACUUGAGCGCCAAAGUGCCUUUUGUAGGUACUCUCCCCCUCGACUUGGACGGGAAGAAUUUAGAGCAGGAAGAUCAGAAAUCAGAAAAUAAAGAAAACAACAAUGGAAGAAAGGUGUGUUUCUCAGCUUUACACAAUUCAAUCGAAACAUUUUGGCGCCCACCGUGGGGAAGUCAGGAAAAUGACUCCUGCCUUAGGACGAUCGGGGGAGGUGUGUUCGGGGAGAAGUCAGAAAAAUGACUUCAGAAAACCCCGCUAAUAAGUCCCUGGCAAGUGUACCAAAUCGUUAUCAAGUAAUAUAAAUGAAUAAGUCCAAGUAUCGUUUCCCAAAGAACUCUUAGGCCUUACUUUUCAUGUAAACCAAUCGCAUAAGACUUGAUAAGAAAUUAAUUUUGGGUUUUGAAUGCAAAAACAAAAGUAAACAUGCAAAUGCAAUGAAUCAAUUGGCUAAAAGAAACUAUGGAUGAAUGGAGUUGUUGGGGUUUACAAUUUCAUCUUAUCCACCCUCUUAUAUCUACUUUUCUUAUCUAAUUCGCUUAUUUAUCAAAUUGUCAUGCAAACUUUCUUGGUCUACCCUUAACCCAAUUCCUUGGCGAAAAGAGCCUAUUACUAAUUAUCGACUUGCUAUUCCUAGUCACCCCUAGCAAUUAAUAAUGCAUGAUAAACAGAAGUAAAAUACAAGUUAUCGUCCUACCCCUAUUUCUAGGCGGUAUUAGCAUAAUCAAGGAAUUCCCCCCAGUUCAUGACAUUACUGUACGUUCCCGUAUCAAUAAAGACAAACAACAUUUACCGAAUGAGUUAAACGAUAAAAGCAUUAAGCAAAGGUAAGGAACCCAACAAUUGAUAAAGAUAAGCAUAUGCAAGCAUAUAAAGAAGAUAAGAAUUUUGAUAUAAGAGAGUUUCAAAAGAUUACAUUGUUCCCUAACAACCUAGGGUUUAGUUCACCAUAAUCAUGGUGAAACUAGAUGAAAUACAAUGAAAGAAUGAAAGAAAUAACCCUAAACUUGGUAGAUUGGAGCCUAAGCAUCUAAGGAACCUCCUCCGAGGUGUGUGGAACAACUCUGGAUGUUUCUCUCUGCCAAAAGAUUAAGUUUUCAUUCGCACUGGGGCUAUAUAUAAGCCAAAAAGAUAACAGAAAGAUUACAGAAUCUGAGCUAAUAAAAACAGACAACCGCCCAAGUGCCUAAGUAAACCGCUCAGCAGUUUCCCCUUUAGCCGUUGGACUGCUCAGCGGUCAUUUUUACCGUUGAGCGGUUUGCCCUUGAUCGCUUUGGACGCUCAGCGGUCCAUUCUGACGCUCAGUGGUUCACUUGACCCUUCUUUUCAUCCUUUUUCUUCCUCUUUCACGGGUCUAAGUCCACCUUACUUCACUUCCAUCUUCAAUUCACCUUAAAACCCAGCAAAACAAUGUAAAAACAAGCAUAAUAUCUCUAAAACCAACUUUUGACUCUCUCAUCACUCAACUAAGUGUUUNACUUGAUUUUAAGCUCAUUCUAAGCCAUAAAGGGUGUGUUUUGAUAUCAAAUUUAAGUAUGAAAAUAACGAUAUUUAGACCGUUAUCACUCGCCCAACGUAAGAAGUCAAGAAAAUGACUUGAGAAAACCCCGCCCAAUGCAGGAAGUCAGGAAAAUGACUCCUGUCUCAAGACGAUCGGGGGAGGUGUGUUCAGGGAAGUCAGGAAAAUGACUUCAGAAAACCCCGCCCAACGUAGGAAGUCAGGAAAAUGAUUCCUGCCUCAAGACGAUCGGGGAAGGUGUGUUCGGGGAGAAGUCAGGAAAAUGACUUCAGAAAACCCCGCCCAACAUAGGAAGUCAGGAAAAUGACUCCUACCUCAAGCUGCUCGGGGGAAGUUCGAAAAAGAAGUAUCAGUCGACCACUCAACAAGUUCAGCUUUGUCAGGUUCCAGUACCUUUUCUUUAUAAAAUAUUGACAUUUACUUUAUUUUUUGGAGUGAAAAUCUAUUGCCCAGGAUAAAGUUUCAAAGAAAACUCUUAGCAUUUCCUAUUCAAUGUAGUGAAUAGUUCCAAAGAGAACUCCUAGAGUUUGCCGCUCAAUAACCCAAAUGCGAGGCUACCCUUAAAGCGAAAAAAGUCUGGUAACCCGAUCGACCAUUCAGUGUGAGUAGUCAGAUCAGGUAAUCAUUAAUGGCUACUUAAUACAUUUAAUGACUGUGUCAAAGAUAAAUAUAUGAAACUUAUUGGUGAUUAACAUAUUAUAUUACACAAAGAGAUACUGUAUUAAUGAAUAAUUCAUGGGCUGAACAAUGGUGAGGCCUAUUAAUAUAUGGUUAAAUGUCCAGGUAGAGACAUCUUAUUCCCAAUGACUAUCAAAAUACACUAAAGCAAUAUAACUGACUUGAACGUCAAAGUGUCUUUUGCAGGUACUCUCCCCCUCGACUUGGACAGGAAGAAUUUGGAACAGGAAGAUCAGAAGUAAAAAAAUAAAGAAAACAACAAUGAAAGAAAGGUGUGUUUUUCAGCCCUACACAAUUCAACCGAAAUAUAUAUAUAUAUAUAUAUAUAUAUAUAUAUAUAUAUAUAUAUAUAUAUAUAUAUAUAUAUAUAUAUAUAUAUAUAUAUAUAUGCAGAGAAACUGACUUCUAUACCAGUUCCAGAAGAGAGGGAAUGACAAGUACUAUGCUAAAUGUUUGUUGCAGAAGACUAUAUAUAUAACAAUUUGGGAUAACAUUCUAGUCCUACGUUUUCCUUGUUGUGUGGUUAUUUGUGUCUUGAGAUUGAAUUUGGAGUGUUACCUACUUCCUCAAAUCUAUUAUAGUUUGGGGUUGUUAUAAAUAAAAUAGUGUAUGUUUAGGCUCAAAUAGUCUCCUGUUGAUGUGAUUCUAUGUACAAUAGUCUGGUGCGUCUAUAGAGCAAAAUUUAGCUUGUAGCAGUAGAAAAGUUGAAGCAGUCAUUUUAACAAACUUUUGAAUUUUCUAUCAUACUGAAUACAUUUUUUUAGAAUAAAAAAAAUAUUUAGAUAAUUUAACAAAAAAAAAAUGUAAAAGGAUUUCAAAUGUUAAAAUUAUAUUAACUUUUAAAAGUUUCUUGAUAUAUUUUUCAUUUUAUAUAAAAAUUCAUUUUUCAUUUGAAGACAAAUUAUUUUAUGUCUUAACUGUUUAUGUGAACGAAUAUAAUUCUCUAAACAUGUUUUUAAAAAAAUUAUAGGAAAAUUUCUAUGGAUUAACUAUCCUGUAAGUUAAUUUUACUUUAUGAAAAAAUCAUUUUAUUUCAUCUUUUUCUUAUUCUUCUUCUAAAUCUUCUUAAAUUUAUACUUUUUUUCCCUUAAGCACGGCAGAAUUUUAGUUGCUGAAAAUUCAAUUUGAUUGAACAUUCUUUUUUUUUUUUUUUCAUUUGCAAUUGUAAUUGUUUUCAUUUAACACUAGUGCAAAAACGCUGAUUAACGUCGAUUAUUUUGGGCUUUUAACAUCUACAAAAUAACCGACGUCAAUUCCAGUGACGUCAAUAGGACGUCGGACAUGAAUAUAACUGACGUCUAGGACUAACUGGAUGUCGGGAGUAGGACUAACUGGACGUCGGGAAUAGGACUAACUGGACGUCGGGCGUAGGACUAACUGGACGUCUAAAGUCAUUAUAUAGACGUCAGUCUGAGCAAUAACCAACGUCUAAAAGGCACUAUAGACGUCGGUUUAUACAUUAACCGACGUCUAAUCCAACGGUUGUGUUUUAGUGCAGUUUUGUUCCCGUCUUUGGAUAGCCUAGUAGCACAAUCUCCUUUUGCUAGUUUUCCCCCAAAACAAAGCUUGCGUCUUUUGAACUUCUUAUGGAUCGUUUCAACCCAAAACCGAACCUGUGUUGUUGCUUAGUUCCAUUUUCAUCCGCAAGAGGAAAAAAUCACGGUGAAACGAUAAUUAGACAACGACCCAGGAUCGUUUUUGGGUUGAAAUGAUCAAAACAAAUUCACAAGACGCCACUUUUUCUGGGAGGCAGCUAGCAAAUGGAGAAUGUGUUACUACGUUACCCCAAGAAAGGAACAAAACUGCACUAAAACACAACACAAAGAAAGCAAAUUUUAAUCAGUUGAACCAGAAGAUAAUCGAUGAAAGACUAAACAAAGUUUAAACGGUAAGUAUAAAAAAAAACCACGCACCUGAGAUGCCGCAAGAGAGAAAAAGGAGAGGAGGAAGACGAUAAAGAUAUCAGAAAUAACAAUGGAAUGCCGCAAUAGAGAAAAAGAAAGAGGUGCCGCAAGAGAAAAAGAAGAAGAGGAAGACGAUAUCAGAAACUGAAUGCUGCGAAGAGUUUGCGGUUUAUUUAAAAUGAAAUUGGGCGUCAAUUGCUCCAGAAAUCGACGUCUACAGUCACCUAGACGUCAAUUAUCUCACUAAUAUGACGUCCAAGUUAACAUUUAAACUGACUUUUUGAAUACCCAUUAGACGUCGGUUUCAAGGGGAGCUGAUGUCUAAGAAGCUGAAUCGAUUGACGUUUGAUUUCCUGUCAGGGAUGUUCAUGACAGUUGUGAUGGGGCGCCGACGUCUAUAAUAAAAUAGACGUCGGUGCCCUUCUAGCCGACGUCUAGGGCCCUCGAGUUUGGUUAACAUAAUUAAUUACAGGCACAUAAACGUCGCUUCCCCUCAACACUGACGUCUAAAUUGAAGAAUUUUUUAUCUUCCCACCUUCCAGACAACCCUUUGACUGCGUGACGUCUAAGCGUCUAGGAAUUAGGUGAAAAGCAUUAAUUGCAGCCCAAUACACGUCGGCCCCCGUUAACACCAACAUCACUAGACUGUCUUAUCACCUACCUCAGGCCAUUAGACGUCAAUUUGCGGUAGUGGGGACGUCUACAAUAUCAUAGACGUCGUCUUACCUUAAAUUCGAUGUCUAGUUUACCAAGCUAUUUACGAUAUUGCCACCGUCCACUCAUAUACGUCGGGUUACCAACAAACCGACGUCUACUGGGUGACGUUAAACAACGUUUUUACACUAGUAUAAUAUUUAAAUCAAUCAAUUAAUGUGGCAAAUUAGACAUAAUAAAAUAUGUGUUCUUAUUUUUUUAAAUGAAAAAUAAUUUACAAAGCAAAUAAAAGAAAUAAAAUUUUGUUAUAAGAAAUUAAAUAAUUUCUAUAUUUCUUGGUUGAUAUAUAUAUAUAUAUAUAUAAAACUUAAGCAAGCGAUUCUCAAAAGAUAGAAAAACAAAAAAAUGGUGUAAAAUUUUGUUCGUUCAAAAAUUCGGAUAUAUGUAUAUCUAUUUCUAUUUCAUUGUAAGUAUAGAAAAACUUUUAAUGAAUGCUUCUAAAUAUGUUUGUUGUAAAAUUGUUUGCUUUAUUGAUAAAUAUUAAUAGUUAAUAUACAUUAAUUUUUAUUAAUGGAGAUUAGAAUCACUCCCAUUAUGUCAAACCAAGAAAACCAACCUUAAAAAGAUUAAUUUAUUUUUAAUAUACUUUUUAAUGUCUUCUAAUGAAAGAAAUUAAUCAUCAACAUUGUACUUUCAAUCAUAUUUGACACAUCUAAUUUCAAUUUAGUAAAAUUCAAUCAUGGUUAUAGUUUUUCUUAUUUUACAAGUGAGUUUAAUUUACAUCAAUCUUCUUCUAUCAUGGGUCCUUCUUUAUCCAAACAAAACUCUUCUCACUAACCAUCAAUAAAAGUUAAUCAGACAUUUGACGACACACAAGCUUUACUUUUAGCCCUUCAACAAGAGACAUGUUUAUCCUUGAAGUGCUUUGUAUUUUAUAAUCUACAACAAAAGCACAUUAUUCCAAUGUUUGAAUAAUCAUUGAAAGUAAAAUUAGGUUUAUGAAAGAGACCUAAUCCUAACUUAAACUACCCAAAUAUCACUAGUGCAUAAAUGUUGUUUAACAUAUGUUAAUUUGGACUUUUAACGUCAUUUUCCAAACCGAUGUCUAUACGGGUGAUGUCAAUGGGACGUCGAAAUUCCAUACAACCGACGUCUAUUUAGACGUCAGUCGACGCCAUCCCCCGACGUCUAUAUAGACGUCGGAAUGUGCCAAAACCGACGUGCAAUGGGGCUAUAUAGACGUCGGCUUAUGCAUUAACCGACGUCUAUCUUCACUAUAGAAGUUCGACAUUGCAUUAAUUAACGUCUAAUAUAGCUGUUGUGUUUUAGUGCAGUUUUGAUCCUGUCUUUUGAUAGCCUAGUACCACACUCUCCUUUUGCUAGCUUCCCCACAAAAAAAAGCUUGCGUCUUUUGCAUCUCUAAUGACAUUUCAACCCAAAACCGAACCUGGGUCGAAAUUAGGCAACGACCCAAGUUCCAUUUUCGGUCGAAACACCAUAAAACAUAUAAAAGACGCUGCUUUUCUUGUGAGGAAGCUAGCAAUGUGAGAGUGUUGUACUACGCUACCCAAAGAGAGGAUCAAAACUACAUUAAAACACAACAAAAACACAUUUUAAUUGGUUAUUAGAUGAUAUAUGAUGAAGAAACAAAUUUUAUCGGACUAAAACAAAGUUUAAACGGUUGAAAAAAAAAGAAAAACGCACCUGCAAUGCUUAACCGCGAGAUAGAGAAAAAGAGAGGAGGAAGAAGAUUGUGCGCGUAACUGCGAUAGAGAGAAACAGAGAGGAGGAAGAAGAUUGUGCGCGUAACUGCGUCAGAGAGAAACGGAGAUGAGGAAGAAGAUUCUCCGCGUAACUACGACAGAGAAAAACAGAGAGGAGGAAGAAGACAAUGCGCGUAACUGCGAGUUCGCGGUUACUUAAACAUGAAAUGAUGCGUCGGUUUCCUCACUUAUUAGACGUCCAAGAGACUUUUGACCUACCUUUCUCAGGCCAUUUAUACGUCGAAUGCAAGGUUAGUGACGUCUAAAGUGCUGAACGAAGUGAAGUUUCAGUAUCCGGUCAGUCCAGUAGACGACGGGGACCUAGGGGAGCCGACGUCUAUAAUCUUAUAGAUGUCGGUGCUGAACAAAUGGACACCUAUUUUGCCUGCAGGUAAGUAAAUCGCAUUAAUUGCAGUCAUAUAGACGUCGGCUCCCAGUAAAAACUGACGUCUAAUAGACUUUUCAGCUGCCAUUUUUCAGGCCAUGUAGACGUCGGAUGCAAGGGUAGUGACGUCUAAAGCGCUGAACGAAGUGACGUUUCAGUAUCCAGUCAGUCCAGUAGGUGAAUCGAAUUAAUUGCAGCCAUAUAGACGUCGGCUCCCUGAAUAAACCGACGUCCAAUAGACUUUUCACAUGCCUUUUUCAGGCCAUUUAGACGUCGGUGAUGGAAGAAGCGACGUCUAUUUGCCUGUGGGGUAAGUGAAUCGCAUUAAUUGUAGCAGUAUAGACAUCAGUUUGUGGUAAAAUUGACGUAUGCAGUAUUAUAGACAUCGGUCUAUAUAGAAACCGACGUCCAUAUCACCAACUUAUUUACUAAAAUACCACUAGUCAGUCAUAUACGUCACUAAACAUCAUGCCCGAUGUCUAUGGGGUAAUGUUAAAGAACUAUAUGCAUGAAGUUUGUAUGAAAAAAAACCUGAGUUUGAUUUUUGACAUGUUUUUUCUUAUGGGUUUCAUAGGUAUAUAUAUAUAUAUAUAUAUAUAUAUAUAUAUAUAUAUAUAUAUAUAUAUAUAUAUAUAUAUAUAUAUAUAUAUAUAUAUAUAUAACUUAUUAAAUUGAAAUUAAUUAGGAGGUUGACAUAACUUUUAAUUAAAAAUUUCAAAGCAAUUGAAUCAUUAUUUUUGAUAUACUAUUUAAUUAUAUUAUUUCUAUUUAAUGGAGAUUUAGUCUGGAUUAUUCUAUUAAACUUGAGACAAGGAAUCAGUCUUUGAACAGAUUAAUGAUCAAACUUUAUGGAUGAAUCCUGUAAUAAAGAGGGUGGUGAAGGAUUGUAAUUUGGAGAGUCAAAGGUGGUGGUUAAAAAAAAGUGUAAUAAAGAAGAGGAGUGGAAUGAUGAAUAUUGAUUUGAUUUUGGGUGAAUGUAAUUGAGAAUGAAUAUGGAGUGGUACAGUGCAUAGUGUGGACCAAUCUGAGGGCAGAAGACAUAGGCAUGGUGGGUACAGUAGGUACCACUGGUCCUCUGGCACUGUCACAACCACAAGCAAACCUCUUUCUCUUCCCUUCUUCUCACUGUACCUUUCUGGGCAGUGCUUGGUAGGCUACUGCUGCUACAUCUUCUGCUCUAUAUAUAAUCCAACUGCAACUAGAAACUUCCUCACACAACCAACUUUUAAUGCAUGUCUCCCAACCAAUAAAUGGUUACAAGAAUCCCUCAAUCAAUGGAUUUCUAUCUGAACCAGAACACACUUACCUUUCCUUUACUUCAAAUAUAUUAUAGCUUAUUACAACCUUUUUGCAUUACUUUCUUCCUUAAGACAAAAACAAUCUGAUAAUAUAUAUAGUUUAUUACUAAUGUUGAAUCACAGGUUGCUCUUUGUAAUAAAUUCUAUUGGUUUUCAUUAUCAUCAUUUCAGAAGACUUAGUAUCACUUAUUCUGUUCCCCGACACAGUCUUCUUCUUCUUCCAUUUUGAUUAUUGCCAUCUUCUUCUUCCAUUUUGAUUAUUGUUGCUGCUGUUCUUCCAUAAAUGGUAACAAUUAUACAUUGGGAAGUUUUUUAAGUAGAUGCUAAAUAGACCUAUUUUUAAACUAAGAAACCAAAAAAUUGCCUCGGGAUGAUAUUCAGUUAACUAGAUCUUAGUUUUAUUAAUAAAAAGAAAAAAAAAACUAAAGAUGCUACACAUCUAAAAUGUCAUUAUAGAUUAUGAAUUUGGGUGGACAUUUGUGUUUAUUGGAAUGAUAAUAUAGCGUUUCUUUGUCUGAUUAUUUUGAAGUUAUGAUAGAGACCUGACAUGUUAUUUAGAGAAUAUACAUAUUUAAAAAUGUAUAUAUUCUUUAAAAAGAUAAUAAAUAUAUAAUUAUAAUUGUGUGGAUUGAAAUUAAAAUUUCGUUUAUAAUAAAAAAAACUAGUUAUUCAUAAAUUCGGAAUGAUUCAUACAUAAUUAUCAUUGAAAUAUUCUAAAAUAUCAUAUACAAGUACUAUUUAAAGUAGUAGGCCACAUUUAUCAAGUAGAGGGGUGAAUUAGUUUUGCUUUAUAAAAAUUAUUCUUUUAAAAUUCUUUGAACUUUUCUUGGAAUGCAAGUAAAUAAUGAAAGAAAAUGUAAAAGUGAAAGGAUAGAAAGAUCAACACCAUAGUUUAUACUGGUUUGGCCUCAAUUACCUACAUCUAGUUUUCUUUCAAUCAACCUAAGAUUGAAAGGAUUCCACUAUAUAGAUUGAGUUCUGCAACAAGAAAUACAAAGACACCCUCUCAAUGUAAUCUCCUCUCUAACUCCAAAUCUACUAUAGUAUACACCUAUAAAGAACAAUCCUCAUUUUGUAAUCCCCUUUGAGAUACCACACUCAAAGUAACUAAAACUUUGCAAGUUCUCUUUCUGGCCACAGCAAUAGGGAACCACAAUCACAAUAAAUUGCAAACGAUUCUAAUCUUCUAGAAGAACACCUCACAAUGUAGAUUGAUCAGACUUUGAAGCACAACAACUCUUCAAAAAUCCUUGAUAUGAUUUCUUCCAAAUGAAAUUCUUCUCGAUUCUUGGAGAACAGAUGCUUCUACAAUUAAGAACUCAACAAAAUUUAUUAGAUAUGACAAUUAUGAUUCAAAAAGUUGUUUAAUGCAAAGAGUUAUGCGUCUAUUUAUAGAUAUAACAACACUCACGCAAUUUAAUCGAUUACGUUAUUAAUGUAAUCGGUUAAGCAAUUAAUACUGUCUUAACAAAAUUACAUUUUUCACUUUUAACUGAUUAAGCGUUGCAUGUAAUCGAUUAUGUAAUUAAUGCAAGUCAUAACAUUUAAAAAUAUGACCGUUAUGGUAGUUAUGACUUAUUAAAAAACAAGUUUUCAAUGCACACUUGUUUUAACCGAUUAAGAAGAGAGUGUAAUCGGUUAAGUACCAUACUUAAGCAAAUUUGAAAACUUUUUCAUUCAAAACUCAUCAAUGCACUCAGUAAACAAGUAUAAAUAAAGACACGAGUUUUAAUCCAUUAUCUACAUAAUGUAAUCGGUCAGUUUGCCACAAUUAAUCAUGUACUGAUAUUGGAUAAAUUUAAACAUAUUUUAUAAAUAGUGUAAACAAUUUAUUCAUCCAGAUAUAUCUGGUGCAAAGAGUUUUAUCAUUCAAAACCAAUGAAUAUGCAUAUCACAGAUAUAAUCACAGAUAUAUAAACACAAUGAAUAUGCAUAACAUAUAGUUCAAGUACAAUCAAAUAUAUAAACAUCAACUUUGCUUAAUGUGUGUAAGCUUAUUAAAACAUUUAUGUCGUUGUCAUCAUAAAAAACACAUAUAUGGGUUUAGCUUUAUCGUAGCUCCCCCUAUCAACAAUCUCCCCCUUUUCUUAUGAUGCACAACCAAAAAUUAUUUUCCAGUUACUUUCUCUCCCUUUGAGCAUUGAUAACGGUCUAAAAACCAUUAUUUUUACACUUAAAUUUAUAUCAAAACAGAUAUUAUGCUUGUUUUUUGCAUUGUUUUGUAGGAUUUGAUGAGAUUUGAGGAUGGAAGUAAAGAAGGGAGGACUUAGACUCAAGAAAAGAGGAGAAAAGGAAGAAAAGAAGAGUCAAGUUCACCGCUCAGCACCAAUUCCAGCACUAAGCGCCAGUGAUGAAUCGAUAUUUUAUUGAUUUCACUUAGUUUAUUGUGCUAGAAUUAAUCAGGGAUAUGUGCUUAAUUGUCCGGUAUUUUCCCGUUUCUGCUAAUUGUGCUUAACUUGACCGAAAAUUCUAAUUUUAAUUAAUUUGAAUUUUCUGAGCUAAUUAAUUGCAUUAUUAUUUUCAGGGAAAAUUUUGGAAAUACAAUUUGGGACAUAUUGAGAGUUGUCACACAAUUCAAGACUCUCCACAAAACAAGUGUGCUCAAGAAGGAGGGCACUAUGGUCAUUUUAUUCCUUGGGCUUAUGAGAAGAGGGGUGGCAUCAAGAAAAAAGAAGUGUGUCACAACUUUAGCAAUUAAUGAAGAGGUGUUGAUUGGCUGAAUGCAGGCUCACGACCCAUAAAUAAAGAAAAGGGUGUGACAACAUUUUCUAGAAAAAAAUAGAAGGAAAAAAAUAGAGCACCGACGCACGUGGGAGAAGAAUUGGAUGCCACGGCUUGGGACUAAAGUUUUUGAGAAAAAAAUAACAUUCAUUAGCUUUGCAUGAGCUGGCCCAAGCAUGAGAGUGCAGCUGCCACCAAAAGAAAGGAAACGCAUCCCAUUUCCAUCAAGCAGCAGCGACCUUCAUAUGGAAACAUCUUGGGAGGUGCAAAUGAUUAUGUUUUGUUGAUAAAGAGGGCACACUAUAUUUAAUCAAAAGCAACAGCACACGUCCACGACAAAAGCUUCAGGAGCCCAUGUGAAGGAGGUGCGACCCAGCACCCUGCUUUUCUCCAGCACGUGAAUUCAUCCUGUCCCACAUAGUCCAGCAACAACAUUAUUAUCCACAUCUCCACACACACGGACCAACACCAGCUGCAAAGCUCACAGCCUGCACACAUAAAUUAUGAUUAAAGAAAAGUCUAGCAAAGCAAUAUGCAUUUGGCCCAUGAGCACAAGGUGUGACAUCUAGCUGGUUCAUUAAUUACUUCAAUUAAAAAUUAUGCUAGAGUAUCACGGUGAUUACAAAUGGCCUGCCUGUGUCACGGUUUGCUUGGGUUGUAAAGAAGAGAAAAUACACUGCCUUGGCCCACACAAGAAUAACAUGUUGUCUUCAAAAGUAAAAGGGGGGCUACACGUGGCUUAAGGAGAUAAAGAGUGUACACGCUUGAAAGAAAAGUCCAGCAAGCAUUUAAAGGGUUGGACUCCAUGCGCAAAUGAGAUUCUUAUUUCAAAGCAAAGGAUGCCACGGUCCAACAAGCAAACCUAGCGGCAAAAGAAGCAUUUAAAAAACACCGUGACCCACAUUUUUGGAGCUGGUAGCAGGCAACUUUGGAAGAAGCACAACAUCACCGUCCAAUUUUCAUUGGGCUAUGCACAACCUGCUUGUUGUUUUUUGGUGCAGCAAGUGAAGAAGAAAAAUCAUAGCACCUCUUCACGGCAGCAGCAGCCUGUUAAUUUUUUAUUACAUCUAGCGUGGAGAUGGGGGUAACACCCAGCAAAUUGAGAAGGAACAACCCACAUUUACAGCACGUCUAGCACCAACAGAGGAGGGGACAUCACUUAAAAAUACACGCAACCCUAGGGGGAUAUUACUGACAGCUGCAACAGAGAAGAAUGUGUUGGUUUUAAAGAAUGUAGCUGUAGGUGAAGAUAGGAUUUUUUUUGGAGAUUGAAAUUGGAAGGAGAGAAGUGUAGAGACAGUGACGUAGAAUGGAGGGCGACGAAAUUUAAGCUGUGGUGUCAUGCCCUAGUUAUUUUAUCUUUCUUUGCUGAAGAUUGAAAAUGUUGUUUUCUUUUAUACAUUGUAUUUAUAUUUGAAUGCAAAUGAUUUUUACAUUGUCGUUGUGAAAUACAAAAAGGGUUGAAGGAGCUGCUGGCUGGUUUGGAAGUUAAAUUUAAUUAGUCACCAUUUAUAUUUAUUGCAAUGUUCUUCGUUACCUUGUGUAUUUUUCUUCCGUGAUACAACUUUAUUUACUAGCUCUAGGAUGCAUCUUCUUUUUCCAGCUGCAAUGAAUUGGGUUUUCCACUUUCGUUAACUUGUUCAAGUCUUUUGCUUAAUGAUAAUCCGGUGAUGGAGUGACAAAUUCAUUACAUUUAGGUGCAUGUAAUUUGGUUUGCACAAGCUGAAAACGUAGCUUCUUUUAUUCUAGCCGCAAGAUGAUUUUCUUUUAUUUAUCAAUUCUUUUUAAGUUGAUGCAAGCCGCGACUUUUAAUUUGCUUAUGUAGGAUUGAUCAAUUUGUUGUUUCCGUUCUGUCUGUUAUGUUUGGUUUAUUGGUUCUGUUUACUUUAAUGUUGUCUAGUAUGUUUGGUACUGAUAAUUUAACUGUCAUGUUAGCUUAAGUUAGUCGGGUUGGUCAUUAAUAAAAUUACAUUGUUUCCUUGAGAUUUCUUAGACUGCUUUUGUAUUUAUUCUGCUCUGCCUAACAUUCUAUGAAAUCUGAUUGUGUUCUUGCAACGGUUAUACGCUUAGUUGCCCAGUUGGUGAUUGCAUCUUCGCUUAGUUGAUCAAUUUGUAUAGAACAUAUCGGAUGGAAUAGGUGUAUUGUGUUCGCUUAGUUCGCGAUUAUGAUAGCAUGAUUAGCCUUCGCUUAGUCGGUUAGUUGUGCUGGAUUAGAAGCUAGAGUAGUUUAUUCAUGAGACUUUUGCACUUUAUUUGUCAUACUGCUGCUCUGAUUUAGCUCAAUAUUUAAUCUGUUGUGUGCCUGCGAUUAGGUAUACGCUUAGCUGCCUAAUCGCUGUUUAAUCUUCGCUUAGUUGAUUAGACUGUACGGUGCAUGACUAAUUAGAUUUGUGCAUUGCAUUCUCUUAGUUUGUAAUUUGAAGAGCGAAUUAGCCUUCGCUUAGUUGGGUGAUUCGUGUUAGAUUUGGAGUAGAGUAGUGUGUACUUGUCGUUGAUAUGUGAUUGGAAGCAUAGUAAUUGAGUUAAUGACCAACCAUUUCCAUUCUGUCUUUGAAACCGUUUUUAGAUCUAUGUUUAAUUAUUUGUUUGCGUCAGUGUUUUGAUUUAAUUCAUCAGCAUUCACAAAGUUUUCAACAACCCCCCCACUUCGUGUGUGACCUAAUUCUCGAACCGCAAAAUUGGUCCUUGAGAGACGACCUAGGAGUCACUUCCUGGUACUAUACUGCAUUCUUUUAUGCACGUUAAAUUUUGCAUAGGGUGUGACACACAUCAAAAUUUAGCUUCGAGGAUGAAGUUAUAAUUUCUCGCUUAAGUGGCGACGCUGAGCGUCCUACGACUUGGAGGUCCACCACUGAGCGGCAUAAUUGAACGUUGGCUGGUCUGCGAUUAUAAGGCUGAUAACGGUCUAAAAACCGUUAUUUUCAUGCUUAAAUUUGAUAUAAAAAAACAUCCUUUAUGGCUUAGAAUGAGCUUAAAAUCAAGUAAAACACUUAGUUUAGUCAUGUGAGAGUCAAAAGUUGGUUUUAGAGAUAUUAUGCUUGUUUUUGCAUUGUUUUUCAGGGUUUUGAUGUGAAUUGAAGAUGGAAGUGAAGCAAGGGGGACUUAGACUCAUGAAAGAAGAAGAAAAAGGAUGAAAGAGAAGAGUCAAGUGAACCGCUCAACGCCAAAUUCCAGUGCUGAGCGCCAGUAUCGUGGGUGAAGCCACUACUUCUCGCUUGAGCGGCACCGCUGAACUCCUGUGCAAUUAGAGGGUCACCGCUGAGCGGCAUAUUGGACCGUUGAGCGGUUUUGCAAUUAGAGGCAAAUCGCUCAGCGGCUAAAUUAAGCGCUGAGAGUCCAUCAAAUGGGCUUAGGCUUAAUUUCUGUUACUUUUAUGCGCUAUAAAUAGCCCCAGUGCGAUUCACAAUGUAAUAUUUUGGCAGACAAAGACGUCCAGAGCUGUUCUACACUCCUUAGAGGCGGUUCCUUGGAUGAUUAGGCUUCAAUCUACCAAAUUUCGGAUUUAUUCUUCUAUUCUUUCAUUUUAUUCCAUCUAGUUUCACCAUGUCAAUGGUGAACUGAACCCUUUGUUGUUGGGGAACAAUGUAAUAUUUUGAAACUCUCUUAAAUCAAAAUUCUUAUUUUAUUUAUAUGCUUGCAUAUGCUUAUACUAUCAAUUGUUGGGUUUCUUAUCUAUGCUUAAUGCUGUUAUCCUUUAACUCAUUCGGUAAAUGUUGUUUGUCUUUAUCGAUACGGAGACGUACAAUAUUGUCAUGAACUGGUAGGAAAUUCCUUGAUUAAGCGAAUGCCACCUAGAGAUAGGGGUAAGACAAUCAAUUUUAUUUUGCUUCUGUUUAUAAUGCAUUGCUAAUUACUACGGGAGACUAUAGAUAGUAAGCCAGUAAUUAGUAAUAGGCUCUUUUCGCCAAGAGAUUAAAUUUAGGGUAGACUAAGAAACUUUGCAUGACAAUAUGAUAAUAAAGAAAGUUAAAUAAGAAGAAUAGAUAUAAGAAGGAGGAUAAGAUGAAAUUGUAAACCCCAACAACUCCAUUCAUCCAUAUCUUUUCCUAGCCAAUUGAUUCACUUGCAUUUGCAUGUUUAUUUUCGUUCUUUGCAUUCAACACUUAAAUUUAAUUUCUUCUCAAGUCUUAUGUGAUCAAUUUACAUGAAAGUUAUGGCCUAAGAGUCCUUUGGGAAAACGAUACUCGGACUUACCCGUUUUAUAUUACUUGAUAAUGAUCUGGUACACUUGCCAGGGACUUAACAAAGGUCCACCGCUGAGCAGCCAAAUUGAGCGUUGAGCGCCUAAGUGAUGGGCUUGGUGAUGGGUGUCACAACCCACACAAAUUUGAUGUGCAAAUAAAUGCAGUAUAGCUAAGGAAUGACCCCUAGGUCGUCUCACAAGGACCAACUGCGGUUCAGAAUCAGGUCUAACACAGUGGGGGAGGGUUUGGUUAUACAGCAUAAACAAUAUUAAAGAGAAUGAAACACUGAAUUAAAACAUUCAUUACCAAGACGCGUCAACUAAUUGCAAUGCAAUCAAUAAAUAAGAAAACUCAUUCAAUGAUAUUAAAUUGCAACACUUAACUAAAGAAAAUAAAAAUAAAAUGCUCAUAAUCACAAACACAUCGUUACUAUAGAUAUGCUAAAAGAAAAGAAAAAUAUUUGAACAAAUGAAAAUUAACAAUUGGAUUAAAAGUAAAUUGCACAAGCUUGUGAGCGUCCCGUGUGCCUUUUCUCCAAUAAUGCCUCAGCCGUGGCAUCCUUCAUUGCUUCAACUAAUUGAAUCAGCUUGCUAGAUGUAACAAUAACUCCUCUACUCUUCCAAGACGUCACCGUACACCACUUCUUCUUUUUUCUUAUCAAAGCUAAUUAAAUAACGGCCUCUUUCUCCAAGAGAACCAAGUGAUAAAAAAAAUCCUCACAACCGUCACCAUGUGCACACCUUUUCAGCCAAAUGAAAAUGAAGUCUUCUUAAAAGAAAAGAAAUGGAAUGAAUCAUAUGAGUGGACAAAUAUAGAAUCAGUGUGUAGGCAUGGCAGCGGUGCUCUUGAAUCAGUUGUGUUUCUCCAAUUGAAAGCAGCUAUUUUCAAAGAAAAAAAGUGUUUCAACAAUCAACGGUUCAUUCCCAAAAGAAAGAGAAGAGUUCUUCUACAACUCUACUAUUUAACAGCGUAAAAACAACGUUCCAGGAGUGUAAAAACAAAGUUCCAGCCAAGCAAAGAAAAGUAAAUAAAAAAAAUGGCAAAAGCUAUAAACCCAUGCUCUAGAACCGUGAGCCUCCACCAAGUUUUUCAAAACAUUGAAAAUAAAACUCAAAAGCAAAGAAGUGUGUAGGCUGCAAUGAAACAAAAUGACAAAGUAUGCUUCCUCCUUCUUCAACCCGUGUCCAUGCUCCAAGAAAACUCCAUAGCCAGCAACGUUCCAGCCAAGCCUAACAGUAGCAUGCAAAAUAAAUGACGGUUGGAUAAUCUCUCCUCUUUGGUGGCUGUGUAGCUUUUAUGAAGCAAUCCCUAGGUGUGCAGUUGGACCGUGCAAUGACUGAUGGGAUGAAGAACCGUGGGCUCCGUGUGGCUGCUGCUAGCGUAAAAAAAAUGUGGAGAGCAGGUGCUGAUCAGUUUUGGACUGUAUGAAGCUAGUCCGUGAAGAGUUUUGUUGGAUGCUGGACCGAGUUCUGCUUGUUGGAUGAAUCAUGGGCCGUGAGCAGCAGCGUGUCACCGUGCACCUCUAAAGCUUGCUGCUGGACUUCUUUCUGCUGCCACUACGUGCUGGACGUGUGGGCUGAUGGUUGCAACUUGCUGCAGGCUGCUGGAAUUUCGGAUGCGUGAAGAUGUUGUUGUGUGACGUUGCAUCUGGGCUGCAGCUGCUUCCAUGGUUACUACUGCCUUAGUCCUGCUGUUUGCACCCCAAAAUGCUGCCCAAGCUGGACCGUGAAUGCAUGAAGCUGCAACUUUCCUUGUCUCGUGGCAGCUGAACAUGUUUGCUGGUUACACCUGCUGGAAUGAAUGUUUGUAGACCGUGCACCACAUGCUAUUGUCAUUGCUAGAUGCUUUUCAUUUGCUAGGCUGCUUCAAAGCUGGACCGCAUGUAUCAUUAUGGGAUGAUGGGCCAUGACGUGUUGCGCUUCAUGUGCGCCACUUCUCCAAGCCCGAAAGUAGCUGUGUACCUCGCUGCAAACGACACCAUAUGCUGACCAUAGUUUAAUCAACCAAAUGCAUUCGAGCAACUCUCACAUGGACCGCUGGCUCGCUCUCUUCAAUCACCCAUGUGCCAUCUUAAGUGAAUUUUAAUCCAUUAAAUUCACGGGCUGCCGGACUUUAUCCUGCUAGACAACAUACAUUUCUUCAAGCACCUAGACGUGUUUGUUGCUUCAUCAACACUGGAGUCUUUCCUGCUGAUGGGUCGUAAGCUCUUCAAAUGCUGGACCAGCCCAAGCUGCUGCUGUACGUGGGCUACAAGUAUUGGGUUGUUUGUGCUAGCUUCAAGAAAACUAACAAAUGAAUCACGCUUUCCAGUUCCCAGAAUGCAUCAACGUUUUCUCUAAUAGCAAAAUUCCAAAAACCAAUUGCCACGGACAGUAACAGUGUUGCUUCUAGAGUGUAGGCCGUGACAUGUGUUGCUGCUGUAUGCAUCUCCCUUUUUACUGAAUCAGCACCCCCACUUUUCUUUAAUCUCAAAUGUGCCCUCAAAUAUUAAUUUCCCAAGGCCUUGCAAGAUGCUCUCCAAGCCCAAAUAAAAAUGAAAUGCAAGUGGGUGGUGGCUUGCACCUCAUUUAACUUCUAAAUGUACCAAACUGUAUUUCUAAAAUUUUUCCUGAAAAUCAUAAUUCAAAUAAUUAGCUCAGAAGAUUCAAAUUAAUUAAAAUUAGAAUUUCCGGUCAAAUUAAGCACAAUUAGUAGAAACUGGAAAAUACUGGACAAUUAAGCACAAUUCCCCGAUUAAUUCUAGCACAAUAGACUAAGUGAAGUCGAUAAAAUAUCGAUUCAUCAAAAUAGACCACACUUAGUCUUUUGCACUCCUGGGGAAAACCAAGACGAAAACCAGGGAACAGUUCUACGGAGAUCAAGAAGUGACAGACCCAACAUAUAGAAACUACGACUCACAAGGACAAACCCAGAGUUGCACAGUUAUCAAGAAAUCUGGACAGUGAAAGGAAGUGGACAGUAUCCAACACAGAAUCAAGGAAAGCAGAUACUCAAGAAAUCAUCCAAGCAAUUCCAAGCAUGGCAAAAUAAUCAAUCCGCGCAAGAGGUGAAUCAAAAGCAACAGAACCUCACAGAUGCACACUAUCAGUGUUUCUCUCAAGUGUCUAGGAUAAAUAAUGUCAACUCAAUGCACUCAAGAAAGCAAACACAAACAGACUUGGCAAGCCUCUAAUAUCAACACUCAAAACAUAUAUGCAUGUUCAAAUCAAAAGGUCUUUUAUGGGUGAAAUGGGGCCAAGGAAAAAGGGAGAAUAAAUAUGGAUGAGAAACUACAAACCAAAGGAAAUAGAGGAGCGAUGGGGAACAAGUGAAAACACAGUAUACUCACACCCAAAACCUCUAAUUCAAUCCUCUUCUUGACUCCUUUAUUCACAAAAUUUUUUCUGUAUUUUCUCUCCUUUUUUUUUCUUUUUUUUUAAUCAACACACAAUUCAAAAGACAAGAUACUCAUAAUAUUCACAAAACAAAAGCAAGAAGAGGAACCAACUAGCCAAUUCAUCUGAAUUUCCCAAGAGACCACACUUAUUCCCAAAACAAUUCCAAAGCUCCAAAAUUCCCUAAGGUUAAGGUAAUCAUGGUUUUUCAGUUAAGGCUAGUGUAUGAGCUUCAAAAUAAAGAAAUGGGGAAAGUAUAGGCUCAAAGGGGCUAUCAAAGGAUCACAACAAGGUAGGCUCAUUUGGCUAGAAGGGCUCAACAACAAAGCUGCCUUAAUCACCUUCAAACAUGCAUAUCAAUCAAGAAUCAUCAACAAGAGUCAAGCCAAGGCAUAUGUGCAAGCAAUCAAGAGACAUAUCACACACAAGAAAGAAUAUCAAGUGGCUCAAAUUCUCACAUAGGGUAUUUCUGUCACAAUCAAUCACCCUCUCAAACAUCAUAAUCAUCUUUCCAAGCAAAGAAAAGCAAGGAUUUCCAAGCAAAUCAGAGUAUCAAUGAAGUGAAAGAGAAGUCCGCAACCUAAACAAAGUCCAGAAAUCAAGAGAAACAUGCAAAACUAUACACAAGACACAACAAAAACUACCUAGAAAACAAAAAGUUUAACGCACAAAACAUAAACUAAGAAAGGAAAAUCAGAGUCUCCCCCAAUAGACCACACUUAAACUACACAGUGUCCUCAAUGUGUCACAAUCAUCAGAUCAGAAAUCAGAACAAUCAACAGAUCAUGGACAAGUGCAAUAAAAGUAGGAAAGGGGGAGAAGGGAAGAGAAAACUCCCCUGAUCAUGGUGGCAAUUGCCAAAUUUGGACUUCCUGGGAGAGGUCUUCCACCAUUGGAUUCAACAGGGAAGUCUUGAGGAGGAACUGCUUCAGUAUCCAAAUUUGAUCAAGCAGGGAGGUGUCCUCCACAGUUGGAUCCAAGAAGCAGUGAUUGUUGAUGAGCGGGUUCAAUUGGUGCCUAUUGAUGUUGAAGCUUUUAUGUACUCUAGCACCUUUGUCUUCCACCAUGGGUGUGUGUUGAUCAAAUUCAUAUGUACCUCCUGCAACAUGGUUAGUGAAACAUGGUUCCACAGAAAUAACAUGCAGGGGUAUAACACCUAAUCCCAGUGUAAUAGGCUGAACCAAUGAUAUACCCUCAGAACAUGAAUCAAUUUCAGAAAUAGAAACAAUAUUAAUCACAGGUUCAGAUUCAUGUUCAGUGCAUGGAGAACAAACAUUCAGAUGUGAUAACACAAGGUGGGUCUCAUCAUGCAAAGAGGGACAAUGAAAAUCAUGCUCAUUAACCUUAUAAUCAUCAACAUACCUAUCAUCAACAACAGAAUCAAUCACAAGUAUGUUUACCUUCACUUCCCUGGAAGUUGGUAGAGUAGUGGAAGGUGAAGUUGGUCUACCUAUCACAAUAAUGUUGCUUAUCUCUGCCUGGUCCUCCAAUUCUUCAUCAGUCUCCUCAGGUGCAAGAGUAGGGGCAUAGGAGAAUGAGAAAGUAGGUGGCACAAUAGUAGACUCGUGACUCUGCUCCCCAUCUCCUAUGUGGAUGGCAUUAACAUCAUCUGGAAGCUGAACAGUCUGGAAUGAUGAUUCCUCUGAAAUUUGAGACUGUUCCUCGAUGAGUUGAGUAGCCAUCUGCCCCAUCUAAUCAGUCAAACUCUGAAGGGAAGUUAAUUCCUGCUGAAACUCCAUGUUCAGUUGCUGGAACCCAAUGUUCUGAAUAGUCAUCUGCUCCAAUAACUCCUUCAAUGUAGGCUUAGAAGCAGAAGGUUGAGGAGCUAUUUGGGCAGGAGCAUCAUACUGCUGACUCUGGUAUUGCUGAACUGGUGGAGGCAUAGAAGUAUUCUGAGAUGGUUGUUGUUGUGACUGCAAAACCAACGGCAAGUGCACCGGUCGAAGCGUAGCAAGUGAUAAAUAUCGUUCUCUCCCAAGGGACUUGUGCAACACAUGACAAUUCUUCCUUUUAUAACUCAAUUAGACAUCAAAGUGCACAAAAACAACACAAGAAACUCUUUUUGGUAUUUUAUCAAACAGUUGGUGUGAAAGGAAUUUAACAUAGUGUAUUUACAAUUUGUCAAGACUAGAAUUCAUCCAUUUCAUUCUCAUGCAUUCACAAACAACUCAAUUCCAUCAAUUAGGUGUUCAAUUUCAGUUCUAAGUUCAAGUCAUAUUUUCCAAUACAUCAAGAACUACAAUUCAAGCCAUGGGUGAUCAAGCCACAAUAAGCAUUAAGCAUAGAAAUCAAAUACUAACAUUGAAAUGGAAAAGCAUAUAUCAUUAACAUCACAAAAUACAUAAGAAUUCCAUGUUUUACAACUAAUCUCAACAAAUAGGAAAAGCCCCCCAUGGUGGAGAACUUAGGGUUCACAAAAUUGAAGAGAUAAGGAAGAAAUUGGAACCAAAGAGAAGAUGCAAAGCCUUUCCCAAGGUUCUUGGCAGCUGCUCCAUGCUCCAUUUGCACCUCCCCUUCGCAUCUCCAUCUUCAAUCUGUGACCCAUCUUCUUCCUCAACCCAAAAAGGGAAAAUCAUCAUUGAAGAAGCUUGAAGACCCAAGGAGGAGUGGGAGAGCUUCCCAACACCCCAAAUAGCCUCGAAGGGCCUCUCACAAUCUCUCUAGGUGAUGAAUGAAGUGUAGGAGGAGAAGUCUCUCAAAAAUCGCGAGACCCAUGUUUAAAUAACCCAUUUUGACAUAACAGCGAAAAUUCGCGCCCAGCUCGGAUUCCUGGUGCCCAGCGCGACUUUUCAUUGCAUCAGAAGUGAGUUACAGCAAGUUUUCGCACCCAGCGCCACUUUCUGGCGCCCAGCCCCAUUCUCUAGCGCCCAACCCCAUUCUGUGGCGCCCAACCUGGAAUCUCUCUACAACUUUGGCGCCCAGCUUGGAUUUCUCUGCAACUCUGGCGCCUAGCUUGGAUUUCUGGCGCCCAGCUCGGGCGGUUUUGACAGCAUUCUAAAAUUGAGGCUCUUGUGCGAUUCCAAAGGCGUCCAACAUGGGUAUUUUCUUCAAAUUGAUCUUUUAUUGUCCCAAAACAUGUUCCCUUGAGUUCUUGCUUGUUUUCCUCCACUAGAAUGGCUUCCUAUUCAUUUAUUUCACACACUCAAACCUAAAGAUUAGAGGUAAAAACAAACAUAUACUAAAUAAAACACAAGAAAACUAUAAAACACACUAAAUGUGAGGAUAAAACAAGGUAAAAACUAUGAAGGAGUUGAUUUGUUCUCAAAAUAUACACACACAAACACGUUAAAUCAACCGUUAUCACUCCCCCACACUUAAAACCUUGCUUGUCCUCAAGCAAGAGGUAACUUGGCUAAGAAAAACAUCUACUCAACAAAAGUCAAAUAACUAGGAAGCAAGUUCACACAAUCAAAUUAGAUAAGAUUCAUUAAUGCUCUUCUUUCAAUACCAAUCCAAAGAGAAUAUGUGUAACGUUGUAAAUCCUUAGCUAUGGUGCUCACAAUGCAAAUAUUACAAGAAUGAAUGUACAUGCUUUAUGAGAGAUUAACAAUCAUGGCAACGAUGUUUUCAUUGAUCAGCCAAAGGAACCAAUCCUCACUAGAAAAAGUUUUUUCACUCAAGCACACUAGUGUAUAAGGGUAUGUCAUUCUCUCAUCUACCUCUGAUAGCACAAAAUUUGACUUUGCUUUUCAUUUCAAGAGCCAAGAAUUUUCAAAACAUACAAACACAACAAGGGCUUUAUUUGAUAGUCUGACAAGGCAAAGAAGGAAAUUGGUGUAUCUAGGUAAUGUGAAGGAGCAAAGAGAGCAGUCACAUCAUUUUUACAGUUUUAUCAUUAUACUCUCUUUUGUCUGAAAACUAGAACAACCAAACACCCACUUGCAAUAACCUUAUUCGUAUAUUUUCUUUUUCUUUUUCUGUUUCUGUUUUCUCUUUCUUUUUCUUUUAUAGAUGACAUAUAUACAAGAAUGCAUCACAUCAACUAACACCAAUUCACCAUUGUUACUGACCAUGGAAACCUUACUCUCUCAUCAAGGUGAGAUUGUCAAUCAUAUUCAACAAGGCUUAAGGUUUCAAAAGUGAAGGUAAGUUUCUUUAAAUGCUGAAAAGUUUGCACAAGGGUUCUAAUCUUUGAUACACAAUUGGCUAAUCUGGGUAUAUGAUGCAAAGAGGGAAAGAAAGAGGACCUUGUUUCAAUGUAAGCAUGCAAAUGAAUAAUAACUAGCAAUGAAACUCAAGCAAAGUUAAUUGUAACCAAAAGAGGUAGCACUCAUAGAUAAAAACUCUGAGACACAAAAUCUCACCCGGUUAAGUUCUUUGGUUUCCAAUGGUUGUCAUAGAUCAUGCCACAAUCAUUAACCACAGUAAAAACAAUAACAAAAUUCUCGAUAUACUNACAUGAGAAACAACCACAAGCAUAAGUUUUCACAAAAUCACAACACAUUCCCAAGGUAUUCCAAAACCAAUUUAUGAGCAAACACAAAUGGUUCUCCUCAAAUUCAUGCAAAACUCACUCAAAGUCACAUAACCAGUGCAUCAUAUUUGUUAAACCAGCCAAGUCACACUUAUUAUCAACAACAGGAAAAGAAAAUAGAAAGGGAAAGAAAAAACAAACUCUCUUUUUGGUGGACCAACUUAUUGCUCAAAUUCCCCGACUCCUUGCAUAUUUUUCUUCAUCCACUUUCAUCCCUAUUAAUUGCAAGAACACCAAGAAACUCGAACAAAGACGUUAGUCCAAUUUUAAUAGAAACCAAGUUUUGAGAAUUGAAAAUUGAAAAACAUAAAGAUAAAAACAAAAGGAACACAUAGAGAAGUGAAAUAGAAAAAUGAAAAACACAACAAAGAGACAAGGAAAAGAAGAAACAAAGCUUGCAUAACAUGAGCACACUAACCACAUAACAAUUCUAAUAUGCAGAAUGAUUGAAAUGGAUUUCCUAAAUACCCUCACUCAGAUCCCUCUUGUUUUAAGAUCACUUUGUACUCUCCUAGGGUGAUGAAUACUACUUUCCCUGUUCUCUAAUGUAAAAACACUCAGAUCCCUCUUGUUGCGCCUAUCUAAGCUUGACACACCUUACCCAAUCCCUUGGCAUAAGCAUGUAUCAAAACUUGCAUUAAGAACCAGAACAGUGGGGUCCAAAUACACAAUCACAUCGUCUAUCACUCGGGUGACUAGUAAUAUCUGGGUUGAUUUAGCUAGUUCGGCUGUUGAAACCCCAUCCCUAGGCAUCCCAACAACUAGAUCAUGCUCUAAGGCAUACCCCGAGACAAGCUUUAAGCACAAACCAAACCAGUGGAAAGUAUAAACAUCUGAAGGCAAACUGCAUAAAAGAAACACAAACAAAACAGACAUACAAUUGGCAAAUAAUUCCACUUUCCCUGUUUUCUAAAGUUAGAACACUCAGAUCCCUCUUAUUGUGCCUNNNNNNNNNNNNNNNNNNNNNNNNNNNNNNNNNNNNNNNNNNNNNNNNNNNNNNNNNNNNNNNNNNNNNNNNNNNNNNNNNNNNNNNNNNNNNNNNNNNNNNNNNNNNNNNNNNNNNNNNNNNNNNNNNNNNNNNNNNNNNNNNNNNNNNNNNNNNNNNNNNNNNNNNNNNNNNNNNNNNNNNNNNNNNNNNNNNNNNNNNNNNNNNNNNNNNNNNNNNNNNNNNNNNNNNNNNNNNNNNNNNNNNNNNNNNNNNNNNNNNNNNNNNNNNNNNNNNNNNNNNNNNNNNNNNNNNNNNNNNNNNNNNNNNNNNNNNNNNNNNNNNNNNNNNNNNNNNNNNNNNNNNNNNNNNNNNNNNNNNNNNNNNNNNNNNNNNNNNNNNNNNNNNNNNNNNNNNNNNNNNNNNNNNNNNNNNNNNNNNNNNNNNNNNNNNNNNNNNNNNNNNNNNNNNNNNNNNNNNNNNNNNNNNNNNNNNNNNNNNNNNNNNNNNNNNNNNNNNNNNNNNNNNNNNNNNNNNNNNNNNNNNNNNNNNNNNNNNNNNNNNNNNNNNNNNNNNNNNNNNNNNNNNNNNNNNNNNNNNNNNNNNNNNNNNNNNNNNNNNNNNNNNNNNNNNNNNNNNNNNNNNNNNNNNNNNNNNNNNNNNNNNNNNNNNNNNNNNNNNNNNNNNNNNNNNNNNNNNNNNNNNNNNNNNNNNNNNNNNNNNNNNNNNNNNNNNNNNNNNNNNNNNNNNNNNNNNNCAACAAGCAUUAAGCAUAGAAAUCAAAUACUAACAUUGAAAUGGAAAAGCAUAUAUCAUUAACAUCACAAAAUACAUAAGAAUUCCAUGUUUUACAACUUAUCUCAACAAAUAGGAAAAGGCCCCCAUGGUGGAGAACUUAGGGUUCACAAAAUUGAAGAGAUAAGGAAGAAAUUGGAACCAAAGAGAAGAUGCAAAGCCUUUCCCAAGGUUCUUGGUAGCUGCUCCAUGCUCCAUUUGCACCUCCCUUUCGCAUCUCCAUCUUCAAUCUGUGACCCAUCUUCUUCCUCAACCCAAAAGGGGCAAAAUCACCAUUGAAGAAUCUUGAAGACCCAAGGAGGAGUGGGAGAGCUUCCCAACACCCCAAAUAGCCUCCAAGGGCCUCUCACAAUCUAUCUAGGUGAAUAAUGAAGUGUAGGAGGAGAAGUCCCUCAAAAAUCGCGAGACCCAUGUUUAAAUAACUCAUUUUGACAUAUCAGCUAAAUUCGCGCCCAGCUCGGAUUCCUGGCGCCUAGCGCGAGUUUUCACUGCAUCAGAAGUGAGUUACAACAAGUUUUCGCGCCUAGCGCCACUUUCUGACGCCCAGCCCCAUUCUCUGGCGCCCAGCCUGAAAUCUCUCUGCAACUCUGGCGCCCAGCUUGGAAUUCUGGUGCCUAGCUUGGAUUUCUCUGCAACUCUGGUGCCCAGCUUAGAUUUCUGACACCUAGCUCGGGCGGUUUUGAUAGCAUUCUAAAAUUGAGGCUCUUGUGCGAUUCCAAAGGCGUCCAACAUGGGUAUUUGCUUCAAAAUUUUCUUUUAUUGUCCCAAAACAUGUUCCCUUGAGUUCUUGCUUGUUUUCCUCCACUAGAAUGGCUUCCUAUUCAUUUAUUUCACACACUCAAACAUAAAGAUUAGAGGUAAAAACAAACAUAUACUAAAUAAAACACAAGAAAACUAUAAAACACACUAAACGUGAGGAUAAAACAAGGUAAAAGCUAUGAAGGAGUUGAUUUGUUCUCAAAAUAUACACACACAAACACGUUAAAUCAACCGUUAUCAGUUGUUCUUGAUAUUGAAGCUGUGAAGUACCAUACCAUCCCAGGUCAGGAUCAUUCCACCCAGGAUCGUUGCUAUAUGAAUCAAAAUGAUGCUGAGUAGGGGAGAAUCUAUCCAAAAACAAAUGCUUAAGAUCUUCCUAAUUGGCCUUGAAUUUUGGUGGAAGAUGAAUAAGCCACUCCCAUGCUGCUUCUUCUAAUGAAUGCGGAAAUGCCCUUAAAAACAUGUGAUGAAUAGGGACAUGAAGAGGUUUCUUCGAAGAGAAAAUGGUGUAGAACUCCUCCAAAUAUCUAUGUGGGCAUUCACCUGCAAACCCUUUUUACCUAGGCAACAAAUCUGUAUGUCUAGAGGUGAGAACGCAAUGAACAUCAUCCUCAUCAAGUGGAACCGGCUCCCAAGGAGAACUCUCAAGAAUGGAAGGAUGAGUCAUAUUGUUCUUAACAUAAAAAUCAGCGGAAUAUGCAUGAGAAGCAAUAUCAGAGGCACAGGCAAAAGAAACAGUAUCCACAUAGCCAAAACAGGUAGACAUGGGAAAGAAGGGGGAAAAGAAGAAUGCACUAAAAAUAUGCAACCUAAGCUACCUGAAUGCAACACAUAAUGACGAACACACAAAACAGAACAUCACACUCACUACACAAGACAAGACACAACACACACUAACACAACAAAAGACCCAAAACCGAACCGUUGGUCCCCGGCAACGGCGCCAAAAUUUGAUGGGUGUCGCAACCCACACAAAUUUGAUGUGCAAAUAAAUGUAGUAUAGCUAAGGAAUGACCCCUAGGUCGUCUCACAAGGACCAACUACGGUUCAGAAUCUGGUCUAACAUAGUGGGGGAGGGUUUGGUUAUACAGCAUAAACAAUAUUAAAGAGAAUGAAACACUGAAGUAAAACAUUCAUUACCAAGAUGCGUCAACUAAUUGCAAUGCAAUCAAUAAAUAAGAAAACUCAUUCAAUGAUAUUUAAUUGCAACACUUAACUAAAGAAAAUAAAAAUAAAAUGCUCAUAAUCACAAACACAUUGUUACUGUAGAUAUGCUAAAAGAAAAGAAAAAUAUUUGAACAAAUGAAAAUGGACAAUUGGAUUAAAAGUAAAUUGCACAAGCUUGUGAGCGUCCCGUGUGCUUUUUCUCCAAUAAUGCCUCAACUGUGGCAUCCUUCAUUGCUCCAACUAAUUGAAUCCGCUUGCUGGAUGUAACAAUAACUCCUCUGCUCUUCCAAGACGUCACCGUACACCACUUCUUUUUUUUCUUAUCAAAGCUAAUUAAAUCACGACCUCUUUCUCCAAGAGAACCAAGUGAUAAAAAAAAUCCUCACAACCGUCACCAUGUGCACACCUUUUCAACCAAAUGAAAAUGAAGUCUUUUUAAAAGAAAAGAAAUGGAAUGAAUCAUGUGAGUGGACAAAUAUAGAAUCAGUGUGUAGGCAUGGCAGCGGUGCUCUUGAAUCAGUUGUGUUUCUCCAAUUGAAAGCAGCUAUUUUCAAAGAAAAAAAGGGUUUCAACAAUCAACGAUUCAUUCCCAAAAGAAAGAGAAGAGUUCUUCUAUAACUCUACUAUUUAACAGCGUAAAAACAACGUUCCAGGAGUGUAAAAACAAAGUUCCAGCCAAGCAAAGAAAAGUAAAUAAAAAAAUGGCAAAAGCUAUAAACCCAUGACCUAGAACCGUGAGCCGCCACCAAGUUGUUCAAAACAUUGAAAAUAAACUCAAAAGCAAAGAAGUGUGUAGGUUGCAAUGAAACAAAAUGACAAAGUAUGCUUCCUCUUUCUUCAACCCGUGUCCAUGCUCCAAGAAAACUCCAUAGCCAGCAAUGUUCCAGCCAAGCCUAACAGUAGCAUGCAAAAUAAAUGACGGUUGGAUCAUCUCUCCUCUGUGGCGGCUGUGUAGCUUUUAUGAAGCAAUCCCUAGGUGUGCAGCUGGAUCGUGCAAUGACUGAUGGAAUAAAGAACCGUGGGCUCCGUGUGGCUGCUGCCAGUGUCAAAAAAAAUGUAGAGAGCAGGUGUUGAUCAAUUUUGGACCAUGUGAAGCUAGUCCGUGAAGAGUUUUGUUGGAUGCUGGACCGAGCUUCUGCUUGCUGGAUGAAUCAUGAGCCGUGAGCAGCAGCGUGUCACCGUGCACCUCUAAAGCUUGCUACUAGACUUCUUUCUCCUGCCACUACGUGCUGGACGUGUGGGUUGAUGGUUGCAAUUUGCUGUAGGCUGCUGGACUUUCGGAUGCGUGAAGAUGUUGCUGUGUGACGUUGCAUCUGGGCUGCAGGUGCUUCCAUGGUUACUACUGCCUUAGUCCUGCUGUUUGCACCCCAAAAUGCUGCCCAAGCUGGACCGUGAAUGCAUGAAGCUGCAGCUUUCCUUGUCUUGUGGCAGUUGAACGUGUUUGCUGGUUACACCUGCUGGAAUGAAUGUUUGCAGACCGUGCACCACAUGCUAUUAUCAUUGAUAGAUGCUUUUCAUUUGCUGGGCUGCUUCAAAGCUGGACCGCAUGUAUCAUUAUGGGAUGAUGGGCCAUGACGUGUUGCGCUUCAUGUGCGCCACUUCCCUAAGCCCGAAAGUAGCUGUGUACCUCGCUGCAAAUGACACCAUGUGCUGACCAUAGUUGAAUCAACCAAAUGCAUUCGAGCAACUCUCACAUGGACCGCUGGCUCGCUCUCUUCAAUCACCCAUGUGCCAUCUUAAGUGAAUUUUAAUCCAUUAAAUUCACGGGCUGCUGGACUUUAUCCUGCUGGACAACAUACAUUUCUUCAAGCACCUAGACUUGUUUGUUGCUUCAUCAAUGCUGGAGUCUUUCCUGCUGAUGGGCCGCAAGCUCUUCAAAUGCUGGACCAGCCCAAGCUGCUGCUGUACGUGGGCUACAAGUAUUGGGUCGUUUGUGCUAGCUUCAAGAAAAGUAACAAAUGAAUCACGCUUUCCAGUUCCCAGAAUGCAUCAACGUUUUCUCUAAUAGCAAAAUUCCAAAAACCAAUUGCCACGGAUAGUAACAGCGUUGCUUCUAGAGUGUAGGCCGUGACAUGUGUUGCUGCUGUAUGCACCUCCCUUUUUACUGAAUCAGCACCCUCACUUUUCUUUAAUCUCAAAUGUGCCCUCAAAUAUUAAUUUCCCAAGGCCUUGCAAGAUGCUGUCCAAGCCCAAAUAAAAAUGAAAUGCAAGUGGGUGGUGGCUUGCACCUCAUUUAACUUCCAAAUGUCCCAAACUGUAUUUCUAAAAUUUUCCCUGAAAAUCAUAAUGCAUAUAAUUAGCUCAAAAGAUUCAAAUUAAUUAAAAUUAGAAUUUCUGGUCAAAUUAAGCACAAUUAGUAGAAACGGGAAAAUACCGGACAAUUAAGCACAAUUCCCUGAUUAAUUCUAGCACAAUAGACUAAGUGAAGUCGAUAAAAUAUCGAUUCAUCACUUGGGCUUAAAUUAUGUUACUUUUAUGCGUUAUAAAUAGCCCCAGCGCGACCUUCAGAGUAAUCUUUCGGCAAGCAGAGACGUCUAGAGCACUUCUACACUCCUUGGAGACGGUUUCUUGGAUGCUUAGGCUCCAAUUUAUCAAAUCUAGGGUUUACUCUUUCAUCUUUUUCAUUUCCAUCAAGUUCCACCAUGCCUAUGGUGAACUAAACCCUUUGUUGUUGGGGAACAAUGUAAUGCUUUUGAAACACUCUUAUAUUGAAAUUCUUAUUUUAUUCAUAUGUUUGUAUUAUAAAUUGUUGGGUUUCUUAUCUAAGAUUAAUGUUCAUAUCGUUUAACUCAUUCGGUGUGAAGAUAUUUGAUUUUGUCGAUACGGAGACGUAUGGGGAAGUCUCGAAGUGAUAGGAAUUCUCUUGAUUAAGAAAUACUACCUAGAGAUAGGAGUAGGACGAUGAAAUUUUUUUGCUUCUGUAAUUCAAUGCAUUGCUAAUUACUUGGGAAGACUAUAAAUAUUAAACUAGUAAUUAGUGAUAGACUCUUUUCACCGAGAGAUCGGGUUUAGAGUAGACUAGAAAGUGUGCAUGGCAAUUGAUAAUAAAGCGAAUUUAAUAAGAAAAGUAGAAAUAAAAGGGUGGAUAAGGAUGAAGUUGUAAACCCCAACAACCCCAUUCAUUCAUAUCUUUUACUUGCCAAUUGAUUCAACUUGCAUUUGCAUGUUUAUUUUUGUUUUGCAUACAACUACAAAAUUAUUUCUUUUUCAAGUCUUAUGCAAUCAAUCUACAUGAAAGAUAAGGCCUAAGAGUCCUUUGGGAGAACGAAACUCGGUCUUACUGAUUAUAUUACUUUAUAACGAUCUGGUACACUUGCUAGGGGCUUAACAAGUUUUUGGUGUCGUUGCCAGGGACUCGUGGUUUAACUUUUCAAGUAGUGUAAAUUGAUUAAAUUUGACUUAUUUGUAUACAUUUUGUUUCAGUUUUAUUUUUUUUUAUAUAAAAAAGUGCUUCUAGGGUUUUUGUCUCUUGUGUAUGCAGGAAGCCAUUCACACUAGAAGUAAGAAAAAGCCAACAAUCUCUUCCUGAAGGACUGAUAAAUAGGAGGGGAAGGAGAUUCAGACGUCCAUAUAGAGAAUUGUUCCCUUCUCUUGAGAGAUUGUUACAACCCUCACCGGAGGUAUCUACGCAAAGAUCAAAAGUGAUGGCAGAGGAAGUUCCUCGUCCUAGACGCACACUUGCUGAUGCAUCAAAUGUUGUGGGCCCAUUUCACUUUAACAGUAUAGCCAUGCCAAGGGAUAACACAAAUAAUAUGGUGAUGAGCCCUGCAUUAAUUCAUCUGUUACAAAGCAAUCAAUUUCAUGGUGUUGCAACCAGAAUCGCGACGGGACGACGAUCCAAAAAAAGAAAAAGAUUUGAAAUAAAGAGUUUGGAGUUGCCACCAUAGUUUAUUCUGGAAAACUACGAAAAAACCAUAACAUGAUAAGGCAUGGUUUGCGAGAACCGGAUUCUAGGUUCGGGAGUCGGUCGCGUGUAGGGAAGGUAUUAGCACCCUACAACGCCUGCUUGAUGUGGUUUGCAAAAUGUUUAAUUUCCCCUAAAAAAUAAAACUCUAAAGAAAACAAAAUAAUUUUUGUGUUUUUUUGUGCCCGACAAGGAUUGACCUUGCUCCUACGUAUUCUCAAAAUGAUAAAUUAGGGUUACGUAGUUCUAGCGCACAAAUCAUUUAUAUUGUUUGAAAAAGGACAUUCGGUAUUUUUGAAUUUUUAUAUAAGCAAAGGAAAAGGUUUCUAUCACAAGGCCUACGCGAACGGUCGCACGUGUGCUUAAACCUUUUCAAAAUAUUUUUUUAUUGAUUUUUAAUUUUUGUAAAGAAAAGGAAAAGAUCUUUAGCACAAGGCCUACGCGAACAAUCGCACGUGUGCUUAAUCCUUUAAAAUAUCUUUUAUUGAUUUUAAUUUUUGUAAAAAAAAGGAAAAGAUCUUUAGCACAAGACCUACGCGCAUGGUCGCACGUGUGCUUAAACCUUUUCAAAAUAUUUUUUAUUGAUUUUUAAAUGUUUUAAAAGAAAAGAUUUUUAGCACAAGGCCUACGCGAACGGUCACACGUGUACUUAAACUUUUUCAAAAUACUUUUUAUUUAUUUUUUAUAUUUUUUUUUUAUUAACAAACAAUAAUAAAACAAAUUCUAAAACUAAAGAAAUAAAAACAGAGACAAUAAAAAAACAUUACAGUCCAAGCCCAAUAAGAAUAAGGGAGUGCAGAGGAGAAAACCAGGAGUGCAACAUUGAGGCCUUUUUGUCCAACCCAAAUAUAGGGAGUGCAUCAGCAAAGUUGGAGGUGUCACUAGAUAUUUUGUUGACCAAGCCCAAGACCUCUUUUAUUGUUUGCCAGAAGAGGAAAAGGGGUGCGAAUAAAGCUGCGUGUGGUGGUAUGAGGAUAGACUGGGCCCAAAGUCUGACCCAACGUCCUUUAUUGCCCCAAAUCAGAAAAUUAGGGGUUCUACACAAUUUCCCCUUUCGUGCAAUUCGCGCCUCCAAUAACCAGGGUCUUCUCCUUCUUUUGACGAAACAACCAGAGAGGUUUGCCUCCCGGCGCUGCCGCCUCCGAAAGUCUCUCGCCAAAAUAACCAUUUCCCUCGGCCUCCAUCUUCCUUGCCAGAAACGCAAAUCUCCACUGAAGAGUCGUCCUCCCAACGGAUUAACACGCCUCCACCACCACUCUCUCAAUCUCCCAAACACAACACCACUACCAUCGUUCUCGUUUAUCACCUAAAACUCAGACAAACUCCGCCAUGACGCAGAAUGCCACCCAGUCCACCAUCGCAUCAUCAUCAUGCCACCAUUGCUUUUGCUUGUUCAAGCUACAGAACACAACAAAACCUCCUCCAUGGCAUGUGCAAAAUUACCAUCUUCAUCACGCGAAGCUCCUCGCGUCUCAACCUGAAAAGCAGAAAACCAGAAACCAAACAAAACCCAGAAACGUGAAACCAUCUCCUUCCUCACAUCCUCAUUGUGAGAGCGAAACCCUAAACACGACAUUCUCCAAUCUGCGAGCAGCGCCUCCGCAUAGGGAAGAUUUCUCGCGUCUUCAUCCUCAAACCUUCCUCCACUUGAAUUCGCCAUCUGAAGAAAGGAGAAGGCCAAGAACUCGCUAAACUCCAUCAGAACCCGCCGCAGAGGGGAAGGCCGAAACCCAAUUCUAGCAAGUUCAAGACGGCGCAGUGCCACGCUGAUAAUAGUUGCUGGCGACGGGUAGUCAGUGAACGUGAAUGUGGACAUGGCUAUGGUGGUGGGUUAAUAUGGGUUAAAUCUGUUGAGUGGUGUAGUGCAGGGCAAUGUAGGUGUCGAGAGUGGUUUCCUUGUGACGUGCUUGAUGAAACCAUGAGUUUCUGUUGAGCGAAAAUUAGGAAUCGCGUGUGAGGUAAAUUCCUGACGAGGGCGUCCAAUUGUGGUGAAAAGGAAAAAAAAGGUUGGGUGGUUACGGGAAUGUGUAUGAGAGAUAGUGAGAGAAAAAUCAACCUUAUCCCCCUUUGAUUUUAUUUCUAAUUCAUAAUAGAGAAAAUGAUUAUGCAUUCUUGUUGUGUCAGCGUGAAUGUGCCGCGUGCACUUUUUUUUCUUUUCUUUUUUUUUUAUUUGCUUUCUUUUUCACUUUGUUUUAUUUUUCUUUUUUCUCUUUUAUUUUAUUUUAUUUUGUAUUCACGUUUCCCUUUUCUUUAUUAUAUUCACGAUUUCUUUUCUUUUUCUUUUUUCCGUUUUCUCUUUCCUUUUUUUUUCUUCUUUUUGUUUUUUUUUUAUAUCUCUUUUUUUCCUUUUUUCUUCUUUUUCUUUUUUCUUUCUUUUUUUUUCUUUUUUUCUCAUUAAGACUAAACAAAAUAUUAAAAUAAAAUUAAAAGUAAUAAAAUAAUAUAAAAAUGAAAAAAUAAAAUAAGACAAAAGUAAAAACAAAUUCUAUUAUUCAAUCAUCCGAACGAACUUAGGUGUUGACACAUGGGUUGUCGAAUGAGAAUCCUUAUGGUCAUUUGACAACAUUCAGUGAAAUUUGCAACACUGUAAAAAUGACUAGAGUAUUAAUAACAGUCUAAAAACCGUUAUCUUCAUGCUUAAAUUUGAUAUCAAAACACACCAUUUGUGGCUUAGAAUGAGCUUAGAAUCAAGUAAAAACACUUAGUUGAGUCACAUAAUAGUCAAAAUCUGUUUUUAGAGAUGUUGUGCUUGUUUUGCAUUGUUUUGCACGGUUUUGAUGGGAAUUGAAGAUGGAAGUGAAUUAUGAAGGAUUUAGACUCAAGAAAGAAGAAGAAAAAGGCUGAAAAGAAGAGUUUAUGCACCGCUGAGUGUCAAAUUCUAAAGUUGAGCGUCCAGAGCGACUAGAGGCAAACCGCUCAGCGAUGAAACUGACCGCUGAGCGGUGGCACGACAAGAGGAAAAAUGCUCAGCGGUUAAAUUGGACGCUGAGCGGUUGUUUGCUAGGCUUGGGCUUAAAUUCUAUUACUUUUAUGCUCUAUAAAUAGCCCAGUGCGAUUCAAAUUGUAUUCUUUUGGCAGAAGAGACGUCCAAAGCUGUUCUACACUCCUUGGAGAAGAUUUCUUGGAUGCUUAGACUCCAAUUUAUCAAAUCUAGGGUUUGCUUUUCCAUUCUUUCAUUGUAUUCCAUCUAGUUGCAUCAUGUCCAUGGUGAAUUAAACCCUUUGUUGUUGGAGAACAAUGUAAUCUUUUGAAACUCUCUUUUAUUGAAAUUCUUAUUUAUUUAUAUGCUUGCAUAUGCUUUUAUUAUCAAUUGUUGGGUUUCUUAUCUAUGCUUAAAGCUUUUAUCAUUUAACUCAUUUGAUAUAAAGAUGUUUGCCUUUGUCGAUACGGGGACGUACAGGGAAGUCAUGAAUUGAUAGGGAAUUCCUUGAUUAAGCAAUACCACCUAGGGAUAGGGGUAGGACGAUCAAUUGUAUUUUGCUUCUGUAUAUAAUGCAUUGCUAAUUACUAGGGGAGACUAGGGAUAGUAAGCCAUUAAUUAGUAGUAGACUCUUUUCGCCAAGGGAUCGGGUUUAGGGUAGACUAAGAAAGUUUGCAUGACAAUUAGAUAAUAAAGCAAAUUAAAUAAGAAAAGUAGAUAAAAUAGAGUGGAUAAGAUGAAAUUGUAAACUGUGACACCCGGGCACUGACGAGGGCGGGGAGUGAUCGUCGGUGCAAGAGGCAUGGUGUAGGGGGCACAGACAAGGAGCGACUCCUUGUAGGCUUCCAGUGGACGAAUCAAACAUACACCGGAAUAAGAGGAAUCUGGAGACUGUAUAGAUAUGGGACUAUACAGUUGAAAGAUAGCUUAAAAGGAAUUGAUUUGGCUACCUAGGAGGCAACCCAGUUGAAUAUUUCUUGUUUUUAACUCUGUUCUAAGUGCAUUAUAUGUCUGAAUGUUGCAUUUGAGAGGGGAAAGGCAUGAAAUUNNNNNNNNNNNNNNNNNNNNNNNNNNNNNNNNNNNNNNNNNNNNNNNNNNNNNNNNNNNNNNNNNNNNNNNNNNNNNNNNNNNNNNNNNNNNNNNUAGGCUUUUAAAAGCUCAGCGUUUUUGGGGUUCUGCACUUUUGAAACUCCUCUUUGAAGCUCGCCCAAGCGUUCUCUAUGAACCCUAGCACCCAAACUUCACUUUCAAAGAUUUUCCAAAGAGAUUUCCCCACUUUUUCUUAUCACCCAUUCACAAAAAUCCUAUUUUAUACCAUUCUCUUGUCAAAAAUUUGGGGUUUUUGGUGAGAGCUUUGCAUAGGUGAUAACGGUUGAAAAACAGUUAUUUUCAUAUGUGAAUUGAGACCAAAUUACACCCUUUAAGGCUUAGAAUGAGCUUGCAAUCUUGCGAAAUUCAAUAAAUGAGUCAGUCGACAGUCAAAAGCUGUUUUUAGCAAUAUUAUGCUUGUUUUGCAUUGUUUUUGCAGCGAUUUUGAUGAAAGUGAAGAUUGGGAUUGAAGAUGAAGGUCUUAGACUCAGGAUAGAGGAAGAAAACUAAAGAAAAGAAAAGUCUAGGAACCGCCCAGUUGUAAAAUACACCGUUGGGCGGUCCAGCGCGAGGAGUUGGCACCAGGCGUGGACACUGGGCGGAUUUGUGAUUAGAGGCAAAUCGUUGGGCGGUGGUCCCUCACCGCCAGGCGGUGGCGCGAUUAUGGGCAAACCGUUGGACGACGUAAGUGUGCUGCCAGGCGGUUGUCUGCUGGGUUUGGGCCUGUUUUCUGUGACGUUCCUCAGCUAUAAAUAGCCUUAUUGCGGUUUGAAAAUUAUUCGUUUGACAGAAGAGGGCAGCCAGACCUACUUUUCACUCCUUGGACAGGAUCUCUUGGAUGCGUAGGCUCCUUUUUAUCUUAUCUAGGGUUUGCUUUUCCAUUCUUCCAUUAUUUUCAUCUAGGUUCACCAUGAUUAUGGUGAACUAAACCUUAUUGUUGUUGGGGGAAACAAUGUAAUCUUUUGAAACUCUCUUUUAUUGAAACUCUUGUUUAUUUAUAUGCUUGUCAUAUGUGAUGAUUAUCAAUUGUUGGGUUCUCAUAUAUGCUUAAAGCUUUUAUCGUUUAACUCAUUCGAGAAUUGUUGUUUGUCUUUAUUGAUACGAGGACGUACAGUACUGUCAUGAACUGACGAGAAAUUCCUUGAUUAAGCCGUACUAGCCUAGGGAUAGGGGGUAGGACAAUCAAUUGUUUUUUCUUAUUUUUGUAAUGCAUUAUUAAUUGCUAGGGGAGGCUAGGGAUAGCAAGCCAGUAAUUAGUAAUAGGCUCUUUUCGCCGAGGGAUCGGGUUAAGGGUAGGCCAAGAAAGUUUGCAUGAUGAUUUGAUAAUCAAGCACAUAAACAAGAGGAGUAGAUAAGAGGGAUUGGAUAAGAUGAAAUUGUAAACCCCCAACAACUCCAUUCAUCCAUAGCCUUUUUCGUCAAUUGAAUCAAACACAUUUCAUGUUUAUUUUCUGUCCUUGCAUUCCACACUAUUAAUUUUUCUUUACAAGUCUUACGAUUUUAAUUCACACGAACGAUAAGACCUUUCGAGUCUCUUGGGAUGAACGAUAUCGGGCAUUACCGAUUAUAUUACUUGAACGAUCUGGUACACAUACGAGACAGGUUUGGGUCAGGGUCGUGACGUUAAACAUGCGCUACCUGGGAGGCAACCCAGUUGAAUAUUUCUUGUUUUUAACUCUGUUCUAAGUGCAUUAUAUGUCUGAAUGUUGCAUUUGAGAGGGGAAAGGCAUGAAAUUNGGAGGCAACCCAGUUGAAUAUUUCUUGUUUUUAACUCUGUUCUAAGUGCAUUAUAUGUCUGAAUGUUGCAUUUGAGAGGGGAAAGGCAUGAAAUUGAAAAAUUGAAGGUUGAAAUCAGGUGCUACAAUGUUGAAUCACGCAAAAGCAAGCAAAAAAGAGGAAGUGAUCUUUCACGCCCACCGCUGAGUGGAGCAUUUGACCGCUGAGCGGUUGCGGUGCAGACCACGCUUAGGCUUUUAAAAGCUCAGCGUUUUUGGGGUUCUGCACUUUUGAAACUCCUCUUUGAAGCUCGCCCAAGCGUUCUCUAUGAACCCUAGCACCCAANUAGGCUUUUAAAAGCUCAGCGUUUUUGGGGUUCUGCACUUUUGAAACUCCUCUUUGAAGCUCGCCCAAGCGUUCUCUAUGAACCCUAGCACCCAACUUUCACUUUUAAAGGUUUUUCAAAGAGAUUUCCCCACUUUUUCUUAUCACCCAUUCACAAAAACCCUAUUUUAUACCAUUCUCUUGUCAAAUUUUUUUGGUUUUUGGUGAGAGCUUUGCAGAGGGAGGCACUCAUCAUCAAUUAGGAAGAAAUCUUGUAAGCAUCUAGUAUCUCCACUCAAGUAAGUUGUGCAGUUUCAUUCCUAGGGUUUCUAAAUUUGAAAUUUGAUGAAGAACAUGUGUAGGAACAUGAUAAAUCAGGGCUUUUGAUUUCUAUGCAUGACUUGAUGAAAUAGAAACUGUUUGAAGCAAUUGAAUUGCAUUAAUUUGGUCUGGAAUGAUGAAAUUAGUGAUAGAGUGGGGAUUAGGGCACUUUGAAAAGGAUUUUUGAAAAACCCUCGUCACCGCCGCUGAGCGGUCCAUUUUGACGCUGAGCGGUGGCACAAUUAGGGGCAAACCGCUAAGCGGUCUACCUAGAUGUUGAGCGGUCUGCAGUAAUUUUGUGUGGAUGCUUGAUUUCUGAUGUAUGGACGCUGAGGGGCCUUGUUUUUCCCUCAUCUCUCGACUGUGCUUGGUUUGGAAUUUGAUUGAUGAUUUGCUAACCUCUAAUGAUGAAAUGUUGUGGUCUGUUGAACUUUAUUUUAUGCUAGGGUGAAAACUCCUGGCAACAAGAGGAAUGAGCCUAAGAGGCCCAAAAGAUUAUGUUCUCCUAGAUUCCUCUCCAGGAAACAUGAGGAGCACUAUGUGACUGUGCAGGAGAGGAGACUGUUGAUGGAGAGGAAGGCCACUUUUAUCCCAGAUUUUGCUCCUUAAUUUGGAAUAGAGAUCAUGAGGAGAGACUGGGAGAGGCUGGCUACAUAUCCUGCACCAGCCAACAUUGAACUGGUAGAGGAGUUCUAUACGAACGCCUUGACCAUAGGAGGAGUGUCAGCUGGGAGAUACAUGAGCUAUGUGAGGGGGCAGACCAUCCGAUAUGACCCUGACACCAUCAACAACUUUUUAGGAACCGAGUGGCCAGGUGAGCAGUGCCAGUAUGCAACACUUGUAGGGGGAUUCAAAGACAUUGUAAAUAUUGAGACGGUUAUGUGCCUUCCUGGAAGGCAUUUUUAAAACAACCCCUAAUGAAGUGCCUGUCAACAUAAAAAGGGCAGACUUGACGCCUUUGGCAAAAUACUGGAUGACAUUCACUUAGGCCAACAUUCAGCCAUGCUCCCAUGUUUCCGACAUCACCAUGCAUAGGAUCAUCUUCAUCUACUGCAUGUUGAGGCAGAUGGAUGUGAAUGUCGGGAAGGUUAUUGCUGACGAGAUUGAUAACGGUCUAAAAACCGUUAUUUUCAUACUUAAAUUUGAUAUUAAAACACACCCUUUGUGGCUUAGAAUGAGCUUUAAAUCAAGUAAAACACUUAGUUGAGUCUUGUGAGAGUCAAAAGUUGGUUUUAGAGAUAUUACGCUUGUUUUACAUUGUUUUGCAGGGUUUUUAGAUGAAUUGAAGAUGGAAGUGAAGUAACGUGGGCUUAGACCCAUGAGAGAAGGAGAAAAAUGAUGAAAAGAAAGGUCAAGUGAGCCGCUGAGCGCCAGAAUGGUCCGUUGAGUGCUCAUAGCAAUUAGAGGGAAACCGCUCAGCGGCAAAAACUAACCUCUGAGCGGUCAGAGCGGCAAGAGGGAAACCGCUGAGCGGUCAACUUAGGCGCCUGGGCGGUUGUCUGUUUUUAUUAGCUAGAUUCUGUAAUCUUUCUGUUAUCUUUUUGGGCUUAUAUAUAGCCUUAGUGCGAAUCAAAAGGGAAUUCUUUUGGCAGAGAGAAACGUCCAGAGCUAUUCCACACACCUUGGAGGAGGUUCCUUGGAUGCUCAGGCUCCAAUCUACCAAGUUUAGGGUUAUUUCUUCCAUUCUUUCAUCAUAUUUCAUCUAGUUUCACCAUGAUUAUGAGUUUCUCUGUUGUGUGUGAUGAGGGUGUAGAAGUGGAGGAGUAGGAAUGGUAAGAGGGUCCUUGAGUGGAUCAGUGAAUCAUGAUUUUUCGAGGGAGGAGGCUAGGUGUAAUGGAUGAUGAUGGUUUUGUUUGGUUUGUAGGAGGUGAUCAUGAUAUAAUGGUGGUGAAACCGGAAUGGCCGAGGUGUUGCUCUUGAAGCUGUGAUUGUGAGGUGUUGGAGAUGGAAGAAUUCCGUGAAUGAAGAUGGAUGAGGUGGGAUGAUUCUGUUGGAGGUGUGUGAUGUUUAUUCAGGUGGUUCUGAAUUGUUGAUGGUGGAUCAAUGGGGUUAGAGAGCAGAGGAAUCAAUUAGGAUGAGGUAAUGAGGUAGUGGUGCCCCAUGGGAAAUUGCAUGUUAUCCCCUCUGGAAGAAUUCGUUUCUGUUUUUCCCUAAGGAGAUUUCCGUGAGAGUCGUGUGCUUGUCCAGAAAUUGAUUUGAUCAUUUUUGUUAAGCUUGUAACCAGUGCCACGUGAGGAAAUGAUGGUUGUUGCCUAUCGAUGAGUCGUUAUUUCUUGAACUAUAUUUAGUUUAUUGCACUUAAAUAAACCAGGGAAUUGUGUUUAAUUUUCUGUUAUUUCCCCGUUUUCCGAAUUCUACUUAAUUUGGUCGGAAAUUCGUAUUUUCCCUAAUUUGAAUUUUUUGAGUUGAUUAAUUGCAUUUUUGGGUGCAGGGAAAUUUUGGAAACAUCCUUUGGAGCAUUAGGGAAGGUGGCAUGAUCAUUCAAGACUCGACAUUUAGUCACUUCCAUUUUAAUUAAGUUGUAAUUUCGUUUUUAGAAAUUUUAAUCAAGCUUAAGUGCAUUUGGGCCCUUUUUGUGGCAAAUUUGUAUAAGCCCAAUUUGUGUAGGACAUGUGGCUUUUCCCUAUUGUUUCUUAGAGGCGGCCCCCACCAUUUUUAGGGUGUUGGAAGGCAUUUAGAGAGCAAUAGCCGAGACACACAUUUGGUCUCCACUUCUCAUUUUCACUUUGCUUGUAUGAACUCUCUCUUGGAGAAUUGAAUUUUCUUUAGCUGGUGUAUGUAUUGUCACAUGAUUGAUAGAGGAAAAAGCAUGAGUGUUUAUUUCUUUGUUUUCAAUUAAUUGCAUAGUAGGAUUAGAUGCUUUUUAGGUUCUAUAAUUUAUGUUUUGCAUUUAAUUUAAUUUAACUGUGUUAGGUAGUUGUUUGUUGCCUUGUUGGGGUCUAGUAUUUUAUUUUAUUUUGUCUUAUGUUGUGUAAUAUGUUUGGUCUUGUUGCUUCAGUUGCCAUGUUAGCUUAAAUUAAUUGUGUUGGUCAUUAGCUAUAUUGUAAUGUUUCCCUGAGAUUACUGCACUGUAACCAUGUUUGCUAUUCUGACCUGUGUUAAUGUGAUAUUUGUAUUUGCACCUGCAGUUGGGUAUACACUUAGUGGCCCAAUUGGUGUGACGUCUUCGCUUAGUUGACGAAACUAUAUGGUGUAAAUCAGAUUUGACAUCGACACUGCGUUCGCUUAGUUCGCUUUUAUGAAAACAGGAUUACCCGUCGCUUAGUCGGUUAACUCUGUUGGAUUAGAGAUUUGAGUAGCGACUUUAUUUUAUAUAUCUGUGAUGCGAACAUUAUAAUUAAGUUAAUGACCAACUGUUUUUAUUAUGUCUUUGACUUGAUUUUAAAUCUGUGUUUAAUUAUUAGUUGCAUCUGUGUUUUUAUUAUAUUCAUCCGUAUUCACCAUAAACUUUUCACAACCCCCCCCCACCUUCGUGUUUGACUUGAUUCUUGAACUGCAAAAUUGGUCUUUGGGAGACGACCUAGGGGUCAUUCUCUAGCUAUACUGCAUUUCUUUGCACAUCAAAUUUGUGUGGGUUGUGACAGCCCAUCACCUAUGUUGAUGGAGGAAUAAUUUCUUUUUUUUCAAAGCCAUUGAUCACAUUGCUUGUUUUCUUUUCUUUUCUCUUUCGUUUUUUUUUCUUUCUCUUUUUCCUUUUUCUUUUUUCCCUUUUUCUUCUUUUUUUUUUCUUUUUCGUUUCUUUUUUCCAAAAGAAACAAAUCAAAUAUAAAAUAAAAAACUAAAUCAAAUACCAAAAGUAAAAAUAAAAAUUAAAAAUAGUAAGAUAAAAUAAGACAAAAAAACAAGUCCUAUUAUUUAGUAUCCCAGACGAAAUUGGAUGUUGACAGCUGCCCCUCUUUACUUAGAUAUUACUGGAUAAUAUGAAAAUUUGAUAUUUUCGUAUUAUCUGAGUAAAAGCUAAGUAAAGAUAGAAACACUAAUUUCGUCUGGGUUUCAAAAAAGAAAGAGGAAAAAUAAAAACCAAUCCAAGUAGAUAUGAUAACAAAAAAUCAAUUAAGAGUACCAUGAUGCAACAAAGAGAGUUCGACCAUUGCCUAGCAGAGGGUCGGUAUCUCAAAAAGAAAACAAGGACCAUUGCCAAUCAGAGGGCCGAUAACAGAAAACUAAAACUUGGAUUUGACCAUUGCCUCGUAGAGGGCCAAACUCACAGAACAGAAAUUUAAAUCCGACCAUUGCCAAUCAGAGGGCCGAUAACAGAAAACUAAAACUUGGAUUUGACCAUUGCCUCGCAGAGGGCCAAACUCACAGAACAGAAAUUUAAAUCCGACCAUUGCCAAGAAAAGGGCCGAUAACAGAAAACUAAAACCUGGAUUUGACCAUUACCUCGCAGAGGGCCAAACUCACAGAACAAAAAUUUAAAUCCGACCAUUGCCAAGUAGANNNNNNNNNNNNNNNNNNNNNNNNNNNNNNNNNNNNNNNNNNNNNNNNNNNNNNNNNNNNNNNNNNNNNNNNNNNNNNNNNNNNNNNNNNNNNNNNNNNNNNNNNNNNNNNNNNNNNNNNNNNNNNNNNNNNNNNNNNNNNNNNNNNNNNNNNNNNNNNNNNNNNNNNNNNNNNNNNNNNNNNNNNNNNNAUUUAAAUCCGACCAUUGCCAAGUAGAGGACCGAUAACAGAAAACUAAAACCUGGAUUUGACCAUUACCUCGCAGAGGGCCAAACUCACAGAACAGAAAUUUAAAUCCAGCCAUUGCCAAGCAGAGGGCCGAUAACAGAAAACUAAAACCUGGAUUUGACCAUUGCCUUGUAGAGGGCCAAACUCAUAGAACAAAAAUUUAAAUCCGACCAUUGCCAAGCAGUGGGCCGAUAACAGAAAACUAAGACCUGGAUUUGACCAUUGCAUCGCAGAGGGCCAAGCUCACAGAACAGAAAUUUAAAUUUGACCAUUUCUAAGCAGAGGGCCGAUAACAGAAAACGAAAACCUGGAUUUGACCAUUGCCUCGCAGAGGGCCAAACUCACAUAACAAAAAUUUAAAUCCGACCAUUGCCAAGCAGAGGGCCGAAACAAAAAAAGAAUGAAAACUUUAAGGUUAGGGUGCCAAACAAAACUGGGCUUGAGGGCCAGUAUGGAAACUAGGCUUUGGGGCCAAGUAAAAUUGGGCUUAGUGGGCCAGGCGAAACUAGACUUAGGAGGCCAGGCGAAAUUGGGCUUUUGGGCCAGUAUAGAAACUGGGCUUAGUGGGUCAAGCGAAACUGGGCUUAUGGGCCAGUGUAGAAACUGGACUUAGUGGGUCAGGUGAAACUAGGCUUAUGGGCCAAUGUACAAACUGGGCUUACGGGCCAGGUAAAACUGGGCUUAUGGGCCAGUGUAGAAACUGGGCUUAGGGGCCAGGUAAAACUGGGCUUAUGGGCUAGGUAAAACUGGGCUUAUGGGCCAGGCAAAAUUGGUCUUAGGAGGUGAUGAAGGUUGAAAAACAAUUAUUUUCAUAUGUCAAUUUGGACCAAAUUACAUCCUUUACUACUUGGAAUGAGCUCAGAAUCAAGCAAAACUCAAUAAAUGAGUCUCGAGAGAGUCAAAAGUUGUUUUUAGCGAUUUGAUGCUUAUUUUGCAUUGUUUUGUAGCUAAUUUGAGAAAAGUAAGAAUGGAGUUGAAGAUACUGGUCGUUGACUCAAGUAAAGAGCAGAAAAAUGAAGUUUUGAAGAGUCGACGCACCGCCCAGCAGCACACUUAAACCGCUGGGCGGUCUAGGACGAGGAGUAGGCAUGGAAAUUGACACUGAGGGAAACCGCCGGGCGCCAGCGAUUGCCGCCGGGCGGUGGCAGCAGGAUAUGGGAAACCGCCGGGCGGUGGCAAUUGCCGCCAGGCGGUGGCGGCAGGUUAUGGGAAACCGCCAGGCGGCACACUUAAACCGCCCGACGGUGGCACACUGGACUUGGGCCUGUUUUUGACGCGCUCCUCACCUAUAAAUACCUUUAUUACGAAUUCAGAGUCAUUCUUUUGACAGGGGAAGACGGCCAAACCUAAUUUUGCUCUCUGGAGACGAUCUCUUGGAUGCUUAGGCUCCUUUUCAUCUUUUCUAGAGUUUGCUCUUCCAUUCUUCUUCCAUUUUUCAUCUAGUUUCAACAUGACUAUGCUGAACUAAACCCUAUUGUUGUUGGGGAAAACAAUGUAAUCUUUUGAUGCUCUCUCUUAUUGAAACUAUUGAAUAUUUAUAUGGUCUCCAUAUGUUUUGAUUGUUUAUUGUUGGGUUAUCAUCUGUGCUUAAGGCCUUUAUCGUUUAACUCAUUCGGUAUAUUGAUGUUUGUCGUUAUUGAUAUGGGGACAUACAGUAAUGACAUGAACUGGUGAGUAAUCUCUUGAUUUUACAAUACCACCUAGGGAUAGGGGUAGGACGAUCAAUUGCGCUAACUUCUGUUUAUAAUGCGGUAUUAAUUACUAGGGGAGGCUAGGGAUAGAAAGCUAGUAAUUAAUAUUAGGCCCUUUUCGCCGAGGGAUCGGGUUAAGGGGAGGCUAAGAAAGUCGCAUAACAAUUGAAUAAUCAAACUAAUAUUCAAGAGGAGUAGGUAAGAGAGAGCGAAUUAGAUGAAAUUGUAAACCCCCAACAACAUCCAUUCAUCCAUUGUUUUCUUUUGUCAAUUGAAUCAACUUUAUUUUGCAUGUUAAUAUUU